UUUUUUUUUGUUUUUGUGAAACUUGACAUAAAUAUGUAUCUGUUUUAAUGGUUAAGUGAUUUGAGGGUAUGUUUGAGGUCUUGGGUUCAAGUCUCACUUUUGGAAAUUCUGUUAUUUUUUCUCCUAGCCUUAUCCAUGUUGGAUAGGCUUAUGUAAUAUUAUUUCUAAACCCAUAUUAGAAUGAGUUUGCUGGUUCCAGUGGUAAGGAGUUAACUUACUGGAGGUUCUGUGUUCGAAUCCCUGCGUGAGCGAGGGUGAUAAUUUUUGUUUUCGGUUGGCUGAGAGAGUUUGGACGGACUUGAAAUUAUGAGUUGGUUGGGUUGUUAGUGGAUGUAGUGGGAUUAUGUUCAAAUUAAUCAAUUUUAUUUUUAUCUUAUUUUUAUUUUAUUCUUCUCUCUCUUCCCAAAUACCUUUUGACGUUUCUUCUCCAAACUCCUCUUCCAAACGUUUUCUUUUUUGAUUUCUUCUUUCUUUGAUUUCUGUUUUCUAUACUGUCAUUCAAUCACUGUGUUUUGGGUUUCGUAAUCCCUACUUAGACUGUGGUAGCUAAGUAUUCUUGAAGUUUUGUACAAUUGGAAAUCGUUUUUAGAUGUGUUAAUAUGGUGAAUUCUUGUGUAGGUGUUAGUCAAGAGGAUCGAAAUUCAUCUUCUAUCAUGUAGUAUGUUUGGGAUAUCGUAACUAUUUUGGUAAGUGAUCGAGCCUUUUAAUUAAGUACAAUUUUCAUGUCAAGUGAGGUUUUGAUUCAUUGGUGUUUCGGUACUUGGAAUUGAUUGAUUGGAUGGUGUUUUUUAGGUUUGAACGGUUCAGGAUUGCUUACACCUCAAAAUCAAACCAGAUGUGUACUCCUAACACGAGAAAAUGAUGUUCGACGAAAGCCAAAAACUGGGUCUGUCAAAGGUAUAUAGGCGUGUGGCUGGCCGUGUGUGAGACAUGGCCGUGUGACUGUCGUAGGUGUGGCUGUGUGCGAGACACGAUCGUGUGACUGUCGUAGGUGUGGCCGUGUGACGGAAUGUAGCCGGACUGGGCGUGUAGUUUUUGGGCCAGCUUAUGUGAGCCACACGGGCAAGGCCAAUUUGGGCGUAUGGGCCCAAAAUUUUGAAAUUUUUCCCUAGGGUCGCACGGGUCAUUUCCAUCAACUGUUUACUUACCGUAAGGUCGGUAAUGGCUAACCAAACCCUAUUUCAUGUGAUUUGAUAUUCUGAUAACCUAAUCUGAGUAGGAUUCUAAUAUGUAUGUUUGACUGUACUCCUUAAGUAUGUAUUUAUUUGUAAAGUACGCUUAUUCUGAUACUUCAGCAUCCGUAUUUUGUAUUUGUGUUUAAGGUGGGAUUGUUAUAUGUAGAGGAAGCGAUCUAUACAGUGACUUUUUACCUAUAUUUUGGGAGCUUAACUGCAUAUUAUCUGAUAAGGGUCACAUCGACACCAUAUGGUGUGUAGGGAUGGGUGGGUGUUUUUAACCCCACAUGGUGUGAUGGGAUAGAUGGAGAUGGUGUAUAAAGGAUGGGGGUAAGAUUCUAUAUGUCUAAUAUGUUUAUCUGAUAUCUGUUUUUGUUAAGCACAGUGAUUUGAAUCUGUAUCUGAUUACUUAUGACAUUCGGUGUGUGUGUGUGCAUGACUGUCUCUGUUGGGGUACACACUAAGUUUAUGAAAACUCACAUCUGUUUGUCUGAUCUGUAAAAGUAACCCUCAGUCAUAGGCUGGUCGAUGCGACGAAGGCUCAGCAGUGACCACUCGUGGGGAAACUGUUCCUUCUAUUUUCAUUAGUUAUCGGUAUUUUAAAUUCUGGAUUCAUUUGAAAGUUUCUAACUUUUGGAACUCUUUAGACUGUAUGGCUUUAGCUGUUGUUUUGAUUUUUUGCUUUUGGUUGUUUCUAUACUACAAAGAUUAACGAAAAUAAUUUACAAAAACUAAGUUUUUUUUGAAAAUAAGAAUUGGAUUAAAAAAUAUAAAGAUGUUUGUAAGACUUUCACUGCAAAUUAUGUUUUGGAAAAUGAAUUAAUUCGUGACGGUUUGGGUAAUAAAUUGGUAAAUGAAUAUGUUUUGUAAUUUUGAAGACUUUCUAACAAGUAACUUUAUAAGGUUUUUGUCAAAAUAAAAAUAGUUUCAAAACCCUUCCUCAUAACACUCUCAAAUUUGGCCAUAACGUCUAGACCGGGUUUGGGGUAUUACAUUUAGUUGUAUCAGAUCUAGGUUAUAAAAAUCGGGAUGUGAAUCUUAGGUUCUAAAAUUUCAUUUCAAAAAGAUUGGUUUCAAAUAAAAAUUUGUUUUAUCCUAAACGAAUAUGUGGUACACCGAGGCUCCAGCGUCGAUCUUGUAAAUAUUUUUGAACUUAGAUAAAACUUUCUGAAAACACUGUAGUUAUUACUUUAUGAAACUAUACUGAGUUAGUUAGAGACUAAAAUCUCUAAAAUACUUCUGAACUUUGGGUAAUUUAAGCAUAAAAUAGCUGCUAAUAAACUGGAAGUAAUGUCUAAAAUUUUAAAAUGUAGAUAAACAUUUCAAAUUUAGAUAAGCGCACGUGGAUUACACAGUCGAGUUAUGCGCGGGCACGGCUGGCGCCAUAGAGGGACCCGAGCUGAGUCUUCCUCUCUGGGCAAUAUGCCAAAUCUGGACACGAGUGAGACUCCGGUUAUACUUUCUACUGAGACUAGGUUUUAGAGUCGAUCGGCUGGGGUUGGUGCACAGUCCCAAGCCAUGUUGAGAGUGUUGGAGAGGGUCACUAGACCCUAUUUUAGAUCUAUAGGUCGUGGGUCAGUAACUAAACGAAUCCGAUCUAAUGGAGCUGAGUUGUUUAGGUGCGUCAUUGAGGUCGCCCCUAUUGCGGCCGAGUACUGGUUGGAAAAAUUAAAGGGUACAGUUUCUUUACUUCGCGAUGAGGCAUAUCAGUGGUGGUUAUCAGUUGAGGAGGGUACUCAACCAGAUCGUCUGAACUGGGAUUAUUUUAAGACUUUCUUCUAUGGAAAAUAUGUGGGUGCAAGCUAUGUUGAUGCUCGUAGGCGUGAGUUCAUGAUUCUGGGUUGAGUAUGAGGCCGAGUUUCUGAGACUAAGCCGCUACACUCGAGGCAUGGUGGCAUCCGAGUAUGAGAAAUGUGUCUAUUUUGAGGACGAUUUAAAUGAUAGCCUGAGGGUUCUGAUUGUUCUGCAGAGAAAGCGUGAGUUCGUUGUUCUGGUGGAUAAAGUGAAUAUCGCCGAAGAGGUUAAGCGCGUGGAGUGCCAGAAUAGAGGCAAUGAGAGAGGCAAGAAUAAGAGGGAUUCAAAGCCCUCUAGUUCUGUUCAAAGGCCUAAGAAACGGGCUAAACCUGAUGAGCUUGUUAAAGUAGGAGUUCUUGUUUAUCCUAUUGGGAUUCAGCCUUGUGGUGGCUGUGGUAGGCGCCAUUCGAACGAGUGUUGGAGGAGCUUAGGAGCUUGUCUACAAUGUGGGUCUUUGGAACAUUGGAUUAGAAAGUGUCCAAUCGUUUUGAUCAAAUGCAAGCUUCGAGACCGAGUUUUUUUCAGCCUUAAAAAGAAGUAUAGUUGCCACUUAGGGGCCGUGGACCGACUAGGGGUGGUAACAGUAUGGGCUGAUGACAAAGAGCACCGGGCAGAGUUGCUAAUCAGACUAAGGCGAGACAACCUGUACUAGUUUAUGCUACUCGACACUGAGAGAAUAAAGGCGCCCCUUAUGUGAUCACGGGAACGUUUUUAAUUUUUGAUGCUCCAUAUACAACAUUGAUAGACAUAGGUUCUACCUACUACUAUGUAGCUAGUACUAUUUUUGAAAACUUGGGGAUUUUUGUUGAGUGUACUUUUGGUGAGAUUACUCUACUGAGUCCGUUAGGGUAUUAUGUUCGGGUUAGUAAACUAUAUAGGAAUGUUUCAUUAGAGGUACAAGGGGCUGUGCUUCUGACAAAUUUGAUGGAGUUAUCGUUUAGGGAGCUCGACUUAAUUCUAGGUAUAGAUUGGUUAGUUGAACACUGAGUUAGUUUGGAUUGCACGAUUAAGAAGGUCAUUUUGAAAUCCGAGGAUGAGAAAGAGGUGGUUUUGAUUGGUGAGCGUGGAGAUUACCUGUCUAAUGUAAUCUCUGUUCUAGUGGUCAAGAAAUUGGUUCGGAAAGGGUGUGAGGCGUAUGUGGCCUACGUUAGUGUUUCAAUAUCUAAGGACUCUUUUAUCGAGGAUAUCAGAAUAGUGAGAGAAUUUUUGAAUGUUUUUCUCGAGGAGUUACUCGGGUUACCUCCGAAUCGAACAGUUGAGUUCGGCAUUGAGCUUCUACCAGGUACAGCUCUAGUGUCUAUUGCUCCAUACUGUAUGACACCGAAGGAGUUUAAAGAGCUUAUGGCUCAACUUCAAAAGCUCUUGGAUCGUGGUUUCAUCCGUCUUAGUGUGUACUUGUGGGGGGCACUGGUUCUAUUUGUAAAGAAAAAGGAUGGUACCAUGAGGAUUGUAUCGACUAUCAGCAGUUGAAUAAACUGACUGUGAAGAAUAAGUGCCCAUUUUCGAGACCUGUUUGAUCAGUUACAUGGGGCUUCAUUAUUUUCGAAAAUAGAUCUCCGUUCUAGGUAUCAUCUGCUUAGGGUUAAAGAAGCUGAUGUUCAUAAGACGACAUUUAGGACUUGUUUUGGGCACUACGAGUUCCUAGUUAUACCCUUUUGUUUGACGAAUGUUCCGGCUGCAUUCAUGGAUUUGAUUAACUGAGUUUGUCAACCGUAUCUAGAUCAGUUCAUCGUAGUCUUCAUCAACAAUAUUCUCAUAUACUCUAUGACUGAGGAUGAGCAUGAUGAGCAUCUUAAGGUAGUGCUUCAGAUACUCCGAGAGAGAUAGCUCUAUGAUAAGUUGAGCAAAUAUGAGUUCUAAUUGCGAGAGGUAACAUUUUUGGGGCACGUGGUUUCUUCUGAGGGGAUCUGAGUUAACCCUAGGAAGAUUGAGCUUGUAGUUGAUUGGAAACAACCUAUGAAUGUUUAUGAGAUCCGCAGUUUUCUAGGUCUUACAAGUUAUUAUUAGAGGUUUGUUGAGGGGUUCUCACUGAUUGCAACUCCUUUAACUAAGCUUCUACGCAAGAGUGUUCCCUUCGUCUGAACUGAUGUGCAACAAUCGAGCUUCGAGAAGCUCAAGUCUGUUCUAACUCAGGCUCUAAUUUUGACACAACCUGAAUCUGGUAAGGAGUUUGUUGUGUAUAAUGAUGCGUCACACAUCGGACUGGGGUGUGUAAUGAUGCAAGAUGGUUUUUGCGUUAAAGAUCUUGAGGCACUAUCUGUAUGGUGAGAGGUGUAUCAUCUACAUCGAUCACAAGAGCCUCAAGUAUCUCCUUAAACAAAAGGAGAUGAAUCUUAGGAAGUGUUGAUGGAUUGGGCUGUUCAAAGAUUAUAACUGUACGAUAGAGUAUCAUCCCAGUAAGGCCAAUGUCGUAGCCGGUGCUCUCAGUCAUAGAGCGAGAAUUGAUUUGAGAGCGAUGUUCACUCAUCUUAGUUUAUUCAAUUAUGAGGGUCUAUUAGCCGAGUUGCAAGUUAAGCCGACUUGGAUUUGGCAAAUUCGGGAACAACAGUUUGGGGAUGAGGCUCUAGGUCUACAAUUUCGUCAGGUUAAGAGUGGUAGUACUUCUGAUUUUAGACUAAAUAAGGAUGGAGUUUUGUGUUUUCGAGAACGGGUUUGUGUAUUGAACGAUUCUGAUCUGAGGUAGUCAAUUCUGAGGGAGGAGCAUAAUAGCCCUUAUGUUAUACAUCUCGUGGUAAUAAUAUGUAUCGGGAUCUCCGUGAAUUGUACUGGUGGUUGGGUUAGAAACGGGAGGUAACCAAUUUUGUUGGUCAUUGUUUGACAUGCCAACAAGUUAUGGCUGAGCAUCAGUUGCCUUCGGGUUUACUCUAACCUGUUAAGAUUCUCUUAUGGAAAUAGAAACAUGUGACGAUGGACUUCGUUAGUGUGUUGCCCUUAACACCCCCUAAGAAAGAUUUUGUGUGGGUUAUCGUGGAUCGAUUAACCAAGUCCGCCCAUUUUAUUCAUAUCCAGGCGGACUGUUCUCUGCAAAAGUUAUUGAAGCUCUACAUCUCCGAGAUUGUAAGGUUGCAUGGGGUACCUGUUUCGAUAAUCUCUGAUAGGGAUCAUCGCUUCACUUCUCAGUUCUGGAAGAAACUGCAUGAAGCCCUAGGUUCAAUAUUAGACCUUAGCACUGCGUUCCAUCCUCAAACCGAUUGUAACACCCCUAAACCAUAUCCGUUGCCAAAUUAGGGUUACGAGGUAUUACCGACCAAGACACAACUUUCAAACAUAUGCACACCUAUUAUAUUCGAAUUAAUAAAACAAAUGAAUGAUUACAUAUUAAACAUACAUUAUUAAUCGUAAAACAAAUAUAAUAUCUCAUGCAUAUAAUCAUAUUUACACCUUAAUAAUCAUGCCUCAAAGCCAUACAAAUUAUACUUCAAAAUAAAUGCACGAAUCAUGUGCUUAUCAUUAAAAUGGUAUUUAAAUACAUAAUAAAUUUUAAACAUUUUAUUUCUUAAUAAUAAACAUGCACUUAAUAUACCAAACAAAUCAUAUCACAAAGCUUAUGCCCAAUCUCAUAUGCGGCAUUAACAAAUGUACCAAUUGAUUUAAUUUACUUCAUUGAGUAAUAAAAUCCUUAUACGCAUCUCUCCACAUCUAAUUUGAAUCCUUCAAACACAAAUUAUGUGCACACAUUUUCAGUCAUACUAUCCUCAAUUUGACUAACCAAUUAACCUAUAAAAGCUGAACUCAAAUCAUGCACUACUCAUUUAACUAACAUUAGCCGAAUCUGCAUGUGCAUAAAUACUAAUUUUAAACUUAUUUUCAAUUCAACUAUACAUCAAUAUAUAAGACCAAAACAUGCUUAUCUUCUUAUUACAAGCUUAUACGCAUAUGCAUACACCAACUGAGCCAUUUCCGAACAUCUAUAGUAUACAUAUCACUUUACAAAUACUUUAUAAAUCUAUUACCCGAACCUAUUGGCUAAAUAUUUUAGUCUUUGCACUCCUAUAAUAAACAUCAAUCAUAUUUCAUUUUCAUAUGCAUAACCAAAUUGAAUAACUCUAUAUGUGAACAUCAACUUAAUACUCCAACAAUUCAUACCAUUUCUAACAUGAUCUGUACCUAAUGACUCACUCAUUCAAGCUUAUUAUAUAAACAUAAUCUUCCAUUUCCAAAUCUACUCAAAAUUAGCCAAUGCACAAUCAAUUAUAAAUUCGUCAUUUUACCCAUCUAAAGCCGAAUUAUAAACUAACCAUAAUUACAAAUCAAACCAUGCAACAAGCAUACUCGAUGAGCUAUUUACAAGACAUUCAUGACAUAUGCAAACAAAACAUAUAGCCAUAUUACUAUUCACACCCAUUCUGGACAUCCUUAUCCCAAUAUAAUUAAACUAUAAUUAAACAUAAACGAACUCAAACAUAAGGAUCAAGCCAUUUUCGCAUGGCUUUAAAUAUAUACAAUUUUAAACUCAAACAUAAUAAGACUAGCUUAUACCAAUUUAUUUACACUUCCAAAACCAACCAAAAUAAAUGCUAGCCUAUACAUGACAUAUGUUCAUAGUUCAAACUUUGUAAAAUAUCGAAUAGUGAUCGAUAGUGUGACGAAUUUUCUUGACGAUCCCCGAGCUCGUAACUAGCUUUCACAAUCUAUAAAACAAUAAAUGAAUACACACAUAGUAAGCUUGAAUAGCUUAGUAAGUCAUAAGCAAAUAAUAAUCAAAUGAACAUUAACACUAAAUCAACUAACUGAAUCAAUUCAAACCUUAACUAAAUGUACACAUAUCACACUCACAAAUUUAUAUAUCAUCAAAUAUACAUUAGCAUAUUAACAUCAUAUGAUAGAAUGCACAAAUACCGAUGAACAUAUAUAAUUCUCACUUUUAAUAUCACAUAUACAUCAUUUGGCCGAAUGUAUAUAUUCACAUAUGCAUACACAUAGUUUACAUUAAUAUAUAUAACAUUUAUAUCAUCAAUUUAAACAUCCAACUUACCAUAUUUGCAUAACUUUGUAUGAGUACAUACCUGUGCCUUUUAACUCGAUUUUUUACACUUGAUCUUAACUUAUUAUUGCCCAUUGAACCAUUCAGAAUUCAAAAGGAUACUCGGAUAGUCGAACAUUUCGUACAAUGCCAACGUCCCAGACGUGGUCUUAUAUGUAAUUACAUAUCGAUGCCACUGUCCUAGACAAGGUCUUACAUGUAAGUCACAAGUCGAUGCCAAUGUCCCAGACGUGGUCUUACACGAUAACACAUAACGGAAUCCUAUGUCAUAACAUAUGUAUCCUAACUAUUCCUAAGGUUCGUACGAGACUUUCAAACGUCAAAACUCGAUCAUUUCAAGCUCGUAAACAUUGUUCCCAUGCUUAAUUCAUUUCAGCAUAUUAUAUACACAAGUAAUAAUUCGAUUCGGCACAAUUAAAAAUCAAUACAAUAGAAUUUAUUGAUACUUAUGUACUUAUGAACUUACCUCGGAUAACGACGGAUGAAAUCGACUACUCGACUACUUUCAACUUCUCUAGAUCUAAUUCUGUUUUCUUUCGUUCUUGAUCUAAAUAAAUUCAAAUUUAACUAAUUUAAUCACACAUUCAUUCAAUUUAAUCCACAAACACAUAAUUAGGCCUUUUUACACAUUAUCCCUUAUAAUUUCACACAUUUACAUUUUAGUCCUUAUUUUACAAAACACAAAAUAUUCAAAAUUUAACCACACUAUAGCUUGGCUGAAUAUUCCUAUAAUUCAUCUAAGUCCACGAAUUUUUUUAUUUCACAUUUUAGUCCCUCAAAAUAUUAUUUUCACAAUUUAGCGUAAAAUAAUCAAACUCCUCAAAAAUUCAAAGACAAAACAUUUUAAUCUUUCACAUAUCUUUAAUAUUUCAUCAUCAAACAACAAAAACCACAAGCUAUCAUCAAUGGCAAAACACAAAAUAAUCAUCAAAUUCAAAAAUUAAAACAUGGGCUUUAUAGUACUCGAAGCAACGAUCACAAAAACUUAGAAAUUAUUAAAAAUUGAAACAAAAACAUACCUUGAUUGAGCUUAGCAAUGAUCGAAUGCUUCAAAACUCUUAAACCUUUUUUUAUUUUCUAAGUUUUGGUGGUGGAUGAACACAAAUGACAAUUAAUUUGUCUUUAUUUUAACUAAUUUAUCUUUUAUUUGACAAAUUACCACAUUAGCCUUUUUAUUUUCAUUUAAAAUCCACUAUCUUAAGGCAUUUUUGUCCAUCCUAUAUUCACAUGGUUAAAUAACAACAUAAGGACUCCAUAUAAUAAAAGUCAUAGCAACUAAAUACCUUUACAUAUAGCAUGCUAGUUUUGCAUUUUACGCGAUUAAAUCCUUUUAUCAAAUUAGCAUACAAACAGUAAAAUUAAAUCACGAAAUUUUCACACAUAUUAAUUCACAAAUUAUAAACACAAAAAAUAAUAUUUAAAUAUGACUCGAAUUUGUGGUCCCAAAACCACUGUUCCGAUUAGGGUCGAAACUGGACUGUUACACCGAUGGUCAAUCUGAAAGGGUGAUUCAGAUACUGGAAUAUAUGCUUCGGAGCUGUGUGAUUGAUUUCUGAGAUAGUUAGGAGGAUUUUUUGUCAUUAGCUUAGUUCGCCUACAACAAUAGUUUCUAGUCUAGCAUCUAGAUGGCACCUUACGAAGCUUUGUAUGGUUGUAAGGGUCAUAUUCCGCUAUGUUGGACUGAGUUGGGUGAGCGACGGGUAUUGGGUCCUAAGUUGGUUUUUGAGACUAAAAAUAAGGUUAGACUGAUUUGGGAUCGUCUGAAGGCAGCUUCUGAUACACAUAAGUCUUAUACAAAUAUGAAAAGGAGAGAUACCAAUUACUUUGUGGGAGACUUCGUAUUUUUUAAGGUAUCUCCGUGAAAGAAAGUUCUGCGGUUCAAUCGCAACGGCAAGUUGAGCCUUAGGUUCAUUAGGCCGUAUCGGAUUCUAAAGAGUGUGGGACCAUUUGCGUAUCAUUUGGAGCCUCCUCCGGAGGUAGACCGUAUCCAUGAUGUGUUUCACGUCUCGAUGUUGAGGUGAUAUCGGUCUGAUCCAUCUCACAUUGUCUCUGUUGAGGAGAUCGAGGUUAGAUCGGACUUGACAUUUGAAGAGGAGCCGAUUCAGACUCUGGAUUGAGAUAUUAAGGUUCUGAUAAGGAAGUUCAAACCAUUGGUGAAGAUUUUGUGGCGGAAUAAUAGCAUUGAGGAAGCCAAGUGGGAACCUGAGGACUUGAUGCGUCAGUAGUAUCCUCAUCUGUUCAGAUCAGGUAAAUUUCGAGGCCGAAUUACUUUUAAAGGGUUAGAGUUGCAACUCGCCAAUUAACUUAUUUUUUUGUUUCUGUAAAUCUUAACACAAGUGAGUAUUUACUUCAGUGGUUAAGUGAUUUGAGGGUGUGUUUGAGGUCUUGGGUUCAAAUCCCACUUUUGGCAAUGUUGUUAUUUUUUAUCCUAUUCUUAUCCCUACUGGGUAGGCUUAUAUAAUAUUCUUUGUAAACUCAUAUUAGAAUGAGCUUGUUAGUUCGAGUGGUAAGGAGUUAUGUAAUACCCCGAAAAUUACUACAGAAAGAAACUAAAAUAGUAUCCUUGAUAUAGUAAAAUAAAGAAAUAAAGUAACAAUAAGGGAAAUUUUGAGUUAUGUCAACAUUUGGAAAUAUAUUAUGAUAUAUUAAUUCAAGAAAGGACUAAAUUGUAAAAGUGAGAAAAGUUUUGUUGCUCAAGAGUAAAUACUCAAAAUUUAAGGGGUUAAAAUGUAAAUAUGAAAAAGUUGAAGGACUAAUAGUGCAAAUAUUUUAAGGGUGGAAUGAUCUAGAAAUUAAGGAAAAUGGAUGAAUUAAUACCAAAUUGAAUAGGUGAAGAAUUAAGAGGGAUCAAAUAACAAUUUUCCCAAAUUAAGUGAUGACUCAAUGAUGGAAUUUUAAAAGAUCAUAAAGGGCAAAAUGGUCAAUUAGAAGAGAGAGAAAUCUAGAAGAUAAUGAUGAUGUUAGAGAUAUUUUAGAUUAAUUAAAUAAAUAUUAGUUUAUUAAUAUUUUAAUUUAAUUUUUAAAUGAUAUUUUAUUAUUUUUAUCAUUAUUAUAAAUUAAAGAAAGACAAGUGUAUGGUGAUAAUAGUAUACAAAUCUAAUAAUAUAUAUGUAUACAUUUGUAAUACAAAUAUUUAUUUAAGUAAUAGAUAUUUGCUAAAAAAUGAAUUAUAAUGUAUAAUUAUAAAUAGGUAAAUUAAGAUAAAGGAAAUGAAAAAAGAAAAAAACAAAACAAAAAGAAACAGAGAGCAAACGAAAAUAGGAAGGAAAGAAAAAAGAAAGAAGGAUAAAGGGAACAUUAGAGAUUUCAAUCUUGAAAUUUAAUUGGUAAGUUAAAUUAAGUCAUUUUCUUGUAAUUUUUGAGGUUUUUGAAAUCUUAGAGAUAAAUACUACUUGAUUUAUGUUGAAAUUUUGAAAGCUAGUAGAUUAUUAGAUGUAUGAUUUCAAUAUAAUUUUUUUAAAGUUUGAUAUUAUUGAAAAAGCGUGAAAAUGAUGUUAUAGUAGAGUUUUCUUAUAUAAGGUUUUAUGUUCUUGAUAUAUUAGUGAAGAGAAAUAAGAGAAAGUGAUGGGAAAUAUUAUAGAAAAAGGGAAUAAGGGAGUUAUAAACUUUGAAAAAUCACCUUAAAUUGUGAAAAUCGAAUUAGAUGAUGAAAAAAAUAUGAAAUUAAAGCUUAUUGAGUCUAGUUUCUCAUAGAAGAAAUAAUGUAAGCUAUGGAAUUGUAAAAUUAUGAGAUAUAAUAAAUUUGGUGAGACAAGGUCAGAAUGAUCUCGUUUUCCCCUGUUCUGACUUUGGAAAAUCAUUAUAAAUUGUAUAAAAAUAUUUGGGGGUUUAAAUUAGUAUGCUUAAGUUAUUAAUGAGUCUAUUUUCAAGAGAAAUAAACGGGAACAUCAUCCGAAUUUUGUACUAAGAGAUAAAUAAUUUUUAGUAAGGCAAUGUCGAAGUUGUCGAAUAGCAGAACGAGGAUAAAUUUGAAGAUUUUACUGUACUUAUUGGCUAAAUUAUAAAUUCUAAAUUUUUUAUGGUAGAAAGAUAUUUGAGUCUAGUUUCUAAAACAUUAACCAGAUAUAAUAUAUAUAUCUUAAGUGACUAUGACUCAAGUGAACAGCUUGUUAUGAGUAUACAAGUAAAUAGUGGUAUUAUGUAUAUAUCUUUAGGAUGUGGAAUGGAGUGGAGGAGGAGGAAAAUAUAUGUGAUUAUUCAGCUAGUAUGAGUUUAUUUUAAAAAUAGCUACUUUACAUGUUUUAGGCUCAGGGACUGAAUUGAAUAAAAAUAAAACUUUAGGGGAAAUUUUGUAAAAUAUCAAAAACUACCAAAUUGCAUGAAAUGAAUUGUUUUAUUAUUUAAAUUGAUAAAUUGAAUUAAAUAUUAAUUUAGAUCAAGACUGGGUGGAAAAUCGAGGGAAAUAAAAAAUUACCAAAAUGCUCAUGUAUCUUGGUAUUCUUGCAAUUUAGCCUGGUAAGUUCGUGUAACCUGAAUUAUAUUCUUAAAUGCUUGAAAUGUAUGUUAUUGAUGUGAAUAUGGUUUAAAUGUUCAUUGUAUGAAAAUUGAUAAGACAUUGAUAUAUUUGAUAAAAAGGGGAAGAAAUCUCAGUUGAAUGAAAGGAAAAUUCGAUGGAUCUUUAAAAAGGAAUUGACAGUAAAAAGGAUCUAGCCCAGACGGGUGAUCCUAUCCUGAUAUAGCCCUCCCGAAGAAUAUGAGUAAAAUUGAUUUAGCCCGGACAGGUAAUCCGAAUUAGGGUCUGAAUUUAACCUGGACUGAUAAUUCAGAUCCAAGCUCAUUAGAGUAAAUUAUCAUUGCAGGGGAUUUAGCCUGGACCGGUAAUCCCGACAAUACUCUAUGAGUUUAUAUUACAGAAGAUUUAGCCUGGACUGAAAAUCCCGCUGUAAGGAUGAGGUUCACGGGAGUGCUCUCUGAAAUGGAAAUGUGUUCGCAUGAAUAUGAAUUGACGGUCCCAAAAAUGGUUGCUAAUAGUGUACCUUUGAAAAUCUAUCGAAAUUCUAAAAAAAUUCAACAAGAUAAAUAUGAGAAAUAAUAAGGAUAAUAGAAAACAUGGAAUUGAAUUAUUAUUGGAAAUAUAUUAUCGAAUUUAAUACUCAGUUUGGAUUGAACGCGAAAUUGAGUACAAUCCUUCUGUGCCAAAGGAUGAAUAGAUGGAUAAGACCAUAACUGGGUUAUGGCACUAUGAACGUAAGACCAUGGUUGGACCAUGGUAGUGUUUAUAUGUAAGACCAUAGUUGGGCUAUGGCAUUCUGAUGAUAAGACCAUAACUGGGUUAUGACACUACGAAUGUAAAGGAUGAGUUGACGACAAAUUACCCAAGUAAAUCGAGGUUCAGUAUUUGUUGCGGACUUUCGUGUUUACUAUCUGUUUAGCUCUCAUGAGCUUCUGUUCAGCCUUUGGGCUUCUGAAAACGAUGUACUCAUAUCCAUAAGUCGUUCUUCGAAAGGUAAAAUAUCAAGAGCUGUCUUGAAUGAUAUAUAUGAAUAUGAAGAAAUUGUAAGAGAAUGAUAUGUAUUAUGAUAUGUAUUUAAAUCAAUAUCUUGAUAUGUUGAUAUAUGGAAAUUAUGUAAGUGGAGAAGAGUAAAUAACUCAAGUGUGACAUGUCAAGAAAAUAAGUUUAUCAAAUAUGAAAUUAUAUGUAAUAUGUGCAAGUAUGCUAACUACUGUUGUUGUUUGAUGCUUAGGCAAGUGUCAAGCUAUUGGUUGAAUUGAUAAGUAUUUAAGUGAAAAUAUGCUAGUGCUCAUGAAAAAGUGGUAAGGUUUAAAUUAAGCAAUUUCUUAUGAAAUGACUUAUAAUGUGAUCAGUUCAGGAAAGGCUUUGGUUAAAUGCACUAGCUUGUGACCAUGGUUGAAUGAUAUGUUUAUGACUUGUGUGACAUGCAUAUGGAAUAAGCGUGGAAAGUAAAGAAAUGCAAAUGAAAAUUGUAACACCCCUUACCCAUAUUCGACACUGGAAUAGGGUACGAGGCAUUACCGGAGUUUACUAAUUAAUUUUCAGACAUUUCAUUUUUAUCUAACGUUCAUAUUUAUAACCAAUCAAAAUCAAAACAUUAAUGAGCUAACGUUAACCAAAUUAACUUAUACACGCCAUAAUAACCAGAAUUAAGUCAUCCAAAAUUACCGAUAGAACCAAUGGAUAAUGUGAUAUAUCUCCCACAAGCUUCCGAUAAUCAUUUCAAAACAUCUAAUAACCAUAAAAAUUCUAUAAAUUGUUAAACUUUCAAAUUAUUAACAUGCUUUUAUAAUUCUUCACAAUAUAAAUAAUGUAACAUUUCCUACCAACCACAAUCAAGCUUCCGAUAAUCAUCUCACUACAUCUAAUAAUUGUACAUAUUACCAAUAAUAAUUCAAUUUCAAUAUAAAACACAUAUCCAUAUAAUAUUCAUCAUAAAAUAACAUUCACUUUAAUUAAAAUUAUACAGAAUAUAGUUCAUACGAACUUACCAGGCUGAUAUGCAGAAAUACCAAGAUACAACGACAUUUUAUUAAUUUUCCAUUUUUCUCAAUUUUAUACCCGAUCUUGAUCUAAAUUAAUUUUUCAUUUAAUAAAACAACUCAUUUCAUGCAAUUUGGUCAUUUUUGACAUUUUUCCAAAAUUACCCCUAAAGUUUUACUUUUAUUCAAUUUAGUCCCAGAGCCCAAAUCAUGCAAAUUAACCAUUUAUAAUGCAAACCCAUGCUAGCAGAAUAUCCAUAUAUUUAUUUUCCUCCUCCUCCUCUCCAUUCCACAUCCUUAAUAUAUAUAACAUGCUUAUAUGUAACAUUAUCUAUAAUUUCACAUUUAUUUGUAUUCAUUCAAAGCUGUCCACUUGAGUCAUAGUCACUAAAUUAUUUAUAUCUUGAGCUAAAGAACUCAAAAUUGAGAUCCGUUAAUUUUCUAUAAAACUAGACUCACAUAUAUUCUUACCAUAAAAUUUUAAGAAUUUUUAGUUUAGCCAAUAAGUACAGUUUAUUCUUUACAGUCAUCCCUGUUCUGCUGUCUGACAGUUUCGACCCUUCUUCACUAAAAAUUAAUUAUCUCAUCGUACGGGAUUCGGAUGAUGUUACCGUUUAUUUAUGUUAAAAAUAUACUCAGUAAGGAUUUAAACAUAUAAAUUUAAGCCACUAAUUAUUUUUCUCCAAUUUUUGAUGAUUUUCAAAAAUCAGUACAGGGGAACCCGAAAUCAUUCUGACCUUAUCUCACAAAACCUAUUAUAUCUCAUAAUUUACAAUUCCAUUGCUUACACCGUUUCUUUUAUAAGAAACUAGACUCAAUAAGAUUUAAUUUCAUAUUUUUUUCAUCCUCUAAUUCAAUUUAUAUGAUUUUUGGUAGAUUUUCAAAGUCAGACUACUGCUGCUGUUUCAAAACUAUUUUAGUGUAAAAUGUUGAUAACUAAAUUUAUAACACUUUCCUUUCCUUUCUCUUCAAUAUAUUCCAUCACUUUCUCUUAUUUCCCUUUACUAACAUAACAAGAAUAUAGAACCUUAUAUAAUGAAACUUUACCUUAACAUUAAUUUCCUACUUUUUCAAUAAUAUCAAACUCAAAAGUAUAUAAAAAUCUUGAUGUUCUUACCUUAUGCCAUUGAUUUCAAUCUUUAACUUGAUUUUCUCCCUCCUCCAGCUUCUAUUUCUUGAAUCUAACUUGAUAUUCUAGCUCCCCAUAGUCUCCUUGCCAUCUUUCUCUCUUGAUGGAUAUGGAAAUUCUUUUGAUUUCUAAGUGAAAAUGGUGGAUUUUUGGUGAAAGGACCAAAUUGUAAAGAAAGCAAAGCUUUCUUUCUUCCCCUCUUCUUCUCACGUUAAUGCAUGCAAAAAUGGUGGGAAUGGAUGGAUAUUUUUCAUCCUUCUUUCCACAUAUAUAUAUACUAAAUAAAUUAAUAAUAAUAAAAUAAUAUCAUUAAAAAAAUCAAAUUAAAAUAUUAAUAAACUAAUAUUUAUUUAUUUAUUAAUCUAAAAUAUCUCCAACAUCAUCAUUAUCUUCUAGAUUUCUCUCCCUUCUAAUUGACCAUUUUGCCCUUUAUGAUCUUUUAAAAUUCCAUCCUUGAGUCAUCACUUAAUUUGGUAAAAUUGUGAUUUAGUCCCUCAAACUUCUUCACUUUUUCAAUUUGGUCCUAAUCCAUCCAUUUUUCUUAGUUUCUAGAUUAUUCCUCCCUUAAAAUAUUUACACUAUUGGUCCUUUAAAUUUUUUAUAUUUACACUUUAACCCCUCAAGUUUUGAGUAUUUACUCUUGGGCAACAAAACUUUUCUCACUUUUGCAAUUUAAUCCUUUCUUGGAUUAAUAUGUCAUAAAUAUACUUUCCAAUGUUGACAUAACUCAAUUACCCUUUUUAUCACUAUAUUCUCUUAUUUUACCAUAUCAAUAUUUUCAUGCAACAUUCCUAUCAUAAUGCAACCCAUGUCAUAAUUUUAAAAUAAAUUUUUUUCCUUAUCGAAUUUGUGGUCCCGAAACCACUGUUCCAUCUAACCCCAAAAUCGGGCUGUUACAAAAAUAAAAAAAAUUAUGAAGAGUUAAAGUUAUAUAAAAUCCUACUAAGCUUGGGAUAAUAUGUUUAAGUGAUACUAUGGAUUUGUUCACUUUGUGAGUUGAAGACUAUAGCUUCAUGAGUAUUAUGGUAUCAAUGUUGGGUUAUCCUUGAUAUGUAUAGAUUUCAUAUUUUAAAAGAACUAAUAUGAUUAAAGACUACACGAGCUUACUAACCAUUUAUUGCUUACGUAUUUGUUUUUAUUUACCUUACAGAUUAUCGGAAGCUCGAUUGGAUUAGAAGCUUGUCGGAGAUAUAUCACACUAUCUAUUGGUUCUAUCGGUAAUUUUGAAUGAUUUGAUUCUAGUUAUAAUGGCAUGUAUACGUUAAUUUGGCCAACAUUGGCUCAUUAAUGUUUUAAUUUUGAUUUUGUUUCAAAUAUGAAUGCUAGAUGAAAUGAAAUGUCAUAAUAAAUUUGUAAACUCCGGUAAUGCUCCGUAACCUUGUUCCGGCGACAGAUUUGGGUUAAGAGUGUUACAAGUUAGCUUGCUGAAGGUUCUGUGUUUGAAUCCCUACGUGAGCGAAGGUGAUAAUUUUUGUUUCGGUUGGCUGAGAGAGUUUGCAUGGACUUGAAAUUCUGAGUUGGUUGGGUUGUUUGUAGAUGUAGUGGAUUAUGUUCAAAUUAAUCAAUUUUAUUUUUAUCUUAUUUUUAUUUUAUUUUUCUCUCUCUUUUCCCAAAUACUUUUUGACGUUUUUUCUCCAAACUCCUCUUCUAAAAUUUUUCUUUUUAUUUCUUCUUUCUUUGAUUUCUAUUCGCUAUACUAUCAUUCAAUCACUGUGUUUUGGGUUCCGUAAUCCCUGCUCGGACUGUGGUAGGUAAUUCUUAAAGUUUUGUGCAAUUGGAAAUCGUUUUCGGGUGUGUUAUUGUGGUGAAUUCUUGUGUAGGUGUUAGUCAAGGGGAUCGAAAUUCAUCUUCUAUCGUGUACUGUGCUUGGGCUAUCGUAACUAUUUUGGUAAGUGACCGAGCCUUUUGAUUGAGUAAAAUUUUCAAGUAUGUCGAGUGGGGUUUUGAUAGAUUGGUGUUUAGAUACUUGGAAUUGAUUGAUUGAAUCGUGUUCUUUAGGUUUGAAGGGCUCGGGAUAGCUUACGCGUCAAAAUCAAACGAGGUGUGUACUCCUCACGCGAGGAAACGAGGUUCGACAAAAGUCAAAAACUGAGUCUAUCGAUGACACACGGGCUUGUGACCGACUCUGUGGCUGGUCGUGUGAGAGACACGGCCGUGUGACUGUCGUAAGUGUGACCGUUUGUGAGACACGAUCAUGUGACUGUCAUAGGUAUGGCCGUGCGCGAGACACGACCGUGUGACGGCAAAUAUGUGGCUGUGCUGGCCACACGGGCUAGGCUGGAUUAUGCGUUUGGGCCUACACAAGUGUGUGGGUUUUGGGCCAGGUUGUGAGGGCCACACGAGCAAGGUCAAUUUGGGUGUGUGGGAGACACGGGAAUGUGGGCCUAAAAUUCUAAAAUUUUUCCCUAGGGUAGCACGGGUCGUUCUGAUCGAUUGUGGACCUACCGUAGGGUCGAUAAGGGUUAACCAAACCUUAUUUGAUUUGAUUUGAUAUUCUGAUAACCUAAUCUAAGUAUGAUACUGAUAUGUAUGUCUGACUUUACUACUUAAGUAUGUAUUUAUCUGUAUACAAGCAUGUUAAGGAUGCUUAUUCUAAUACUUUUGCAUCUGUAUUCUGUAUCUGUGUUUGGGGUAAGAUUGUCAUAUGUGGAGAAAGUGAUCUGUAUGACUACUUUUCACCUAUACUUUGGAAACUUAACUGCAUAUUAUCUUAUAAGUGUUGCAUCGACACCAUCUGGUGUGUAGGGAUGGAUGGGUGUUUUUAACCCCACAUAGUGUGAUGGGAUGGACGGAGAUGGUGUGUAGUGGAUUGGGUAGGAUUUUGUCUGUCUGAUAUGUUUACCUGAUAUCUAUUUUUGUUAAUGACUUCGGCCCAAAUCUGUAUUUGAUUACAUAUGAAAUUCGGUGUGUGUGUGCAUGACUAUCACUGUUGGGUUACGCACUGAGUUUACAAAAACUCAUAUAUGUUUGUCGUGAGAUUGCACGGUGUUCCUAUGUCGAUAAUCUCUGAUUGAGAUCCGCGGUUCACUAUGAGAUUUUGGAAACAGUUGCACGAAUCCCUUGGUACACGACUUAAUUUUAGCACAGCUUUUCACCCGCAAACUGAUGGACAAUCUAAGCGUGUUAUUCAGGUUUUGGAAGACAUGAUUCGUACUUGUGUUAUUGAUUUUGAAUUGGGAUUGGAGCGUUACUUACCUUUGGCCAAAUUUGUAUAUAAUAAUAGCUUUCAAUCAAGUAUUCAAAUGGCUCCAUGUGAAGCCUUAUACGAUCGUAGGUGUCGAACACCUAUUUGUUGGAUGGAAUUGAGUAAAAGAAGAAUGAUCGAGCGGAACUUAAUUCAAGAACCGGAUGAUAUGUUAUGAAAAUUCAAGAUAUAUUGAAGACAGCUUUCGAUAAAUGAAAAUCAUACUCAGGUUUGAAAUUUUGAGAUAUUGAAUAUUCUGUUGACGGUAAAGUAUUUCUUAAAGUUUCGCCUUGGAAGAAAAUUUUGAGGUUUGGUUGAAAAGAAAAGUUGAGUCCUCGUUUUAUUGAACCGUAUGAGAUAAUAGAAAGAGUGGGACGAGUUGCGUAUCGUUUAGCUCUGCCUGCAGAACUACAAAAAUUCAUGACUUUAAUUUUUCACGUUUCAAUGCUUAGAAGAUAUCGAUCAGAUCCAUCUCACAUUAUUUCGAUGAAAGAUAUUGAGAUUCAACAUGAUUUUGGCGCAUGAGGUGAAAGAGUUACGUAAUAAGUGAGUUCCGUUAGUGAAAGUGCUAUGGCGUAGUCAUAGUGUUGAGAAAGACACUUGGGAACCAGAAGAGACAAUGAGAUCUCAGUACCCCCACCUCUUUUGAAGUAAAUUUCGAGGAUGAAAUUUAAUUAGGGGGAGAAUUGUAACGAUCUGAUAGUCAGGGAUGUCAAAAAUUGCAUUCCCAAGGCUCUGUCCCUGUAAAUCAGACUCGUAAAUAUUAAUAAAUAUUUACGAAGCUAGUUGUGUAGUUAAUUAGGUUUCGAUUAAGUGAAUUUACAUGAGUUAGAAGUAAUUAGGUAUAAGGACUAAAUUGCAUAUAGGGUGAAAGUUGAAUUAUAGAUUAAAGAAUAAUUAAAGAGACUAAAUAAGUAAUUUUACCAUUGUUCUUUAAGUGGGACGGUUAGUGAUAUAUAUUAUAUGUAAAUUUAUUUUAUAUAUUAUAUUAUAAUAUGAAAUCUUAAUUGUUAAGUAUAUAUAUUAUAUAAUUAGAAUGAAACAAAUAAGUAAAAGAAAAAGUAAUAAAAGACUUAAAAAUUAGAAAGAAAGAAAGAGAGAAGGAAGAAACGCAUAGCCAAGGGCUCUAAAUUUUCAAAGUUUAAUUGGUUAGUCAAUUUAGUCCCUUUUUCUUGUAAUUUGUAUGUUUUUGGAAUCCCGAUACCUAAGGUUAACUGACCCAUGUUGAAAUUUUAACAUUGAUUGAGUUUUUAAAGUUUGUUAAUGUUGAUAAAUUUUAGUAUUAGGGGUUAAAUUGAUAGAUUCUUAAGCUAAAAAUGAAAAAGGAUUAAAUUGUAGAAUAAAUUAUAAAUUUUGAAUAAUAGGGACUAAAUUGUGAAAAAUUCAAAAUUUAAGGGUUUAAGUGAAAAUAGAGAGUUAAAUUUAGUUUAAAGUGGAAUUUGUAUGAAAAUAUAGAAUUAAAUGUGAAGAAUAAAAAUCAGUCUCGAUUUAGGGACUAAAUUGAAAUUUAGGCAAAUAUUGAGUAAAAAUUUAAAUAUUCAAUAUGAAAUUGAAUUGUGUUGCAUUAAUGAAUUUUAAUUGUUUUAAUUUCGUAGCUAACGUUGUAUCGAAAUCCUCGACUAAAAAGGGGAAAGAUAAAAUGACAUGGAAUAGCUCGGAAUUCACGGUUUGUAUUUCUAUAAUCCGAACCUAGUUACUAAUUGUUGUAUUUUGAUUUAAUGCAUAUGGUAAGUGGUUGAGGUGAGUAUUUGGCGCUUUAAUAUUGAAUUGAAUUAAAGUUGAUUGAAAUGGAUUGAAUUGGUAUAUAUAUUAUGAAUGUAUGGAUUAUUUGAAUUGGAAUGAAUAUUCAUGUGUAUAUGUGAUUAUAUGAAAUUUUUAUAUUGGAUAUUGGUUGUUUUUGAAAUGUGAAAUUAAACCCUAUUAAUUGUAUCAGGCUGAGUCAAAUAUAGAUGGCAUGACAUAGGAUGGGAAGAGUCUAGGGAAUUCUUCAACUUCGAGUUGAUGAGGCACUAGAUGCCAAUUUACUUCGAUUUAACCGAUGAGACACUGGGUGUCAAAUUUAUAUAGCGCUGGGCGCAUAUUACUUUAGAUUAUCCGAUGAGGCACUGGGUGCCAAAUUGGUGUGUUGGUUGGAUCCGUGUAUCCGUCUAAAUUUGAGUCGUGUUAAUAGGGGUAAUUAAAUAAUACGGUACUAUGAUUGAUAUUGGAUGAUAUUGUAUGUGAAUUGAAAAUGGGAUAGUGAUUUGAAACAUGAAAAUGAGAUACAUGAGUUAUGUACUCAUGAAUUGGAUAUGGAAUGGAUAAAGUUAUUGUUUAAAUGAUAUGUGGAUCAAAUUGUGAAAAGCUAUUAUAUAGCAAGUGAUGAGAAUUGAGUAUGGUAUGAAAUGAUGUAUUCAUGAGUUGAGUAUUGAAUGGCUAAUGCCAUUGUGAUGAGAAUUGAGUAUGGUAUGAAAUGAUGUAUUCAUGAGUUGAGUAUUGAAUGGCUAAUGCCAUUGUACAAACAAAUGUGGUUUGAUAUGUGAAUAACUAUUUAUAUAACAAUUGUGUGAAUUGAGACAUUGUUUAACAAAUGAAAUAUGAUAGUAUAUGAUAGUCAUGAUACUAGACAUUAAUAUGUGCUUAUAAUUUAAUUGUGGAUAUGAUAUUAUCUUGUCUUUAAUAUUCGGAUUAUAGAAAUACCACUGAGUUUUACUCAGCGUACGGUUUUAUUUUUCAUGCGCAAGUUAGGUACUUAACUUUUGAUCGCCGAUUCAACAUCCAACAACGAUCCCGAACUCAAAUGUUCUAAUGUUUAUCUUUUGUGUCAGCAUAUACGUAGGAUGUCUAAAUGAUAAUUAUUUUGUGAAUGGAUUGUAAAUAAGGUUGUAAGUGUAAUGUUGGUUUGGUAUAUACAUAUAAACAUGUGUUUGUGUUUGAAGCCAUAUUAUGGCAUGGUAAAUUGAACCAAAUCUAAAUAGAUGCAUGUGAAUUUAAGUUGAUGUUUAAGUACUCAUGAACUAGGCAAAAUGGAUUGAAUUUGGUAUGUUUAUAAUUUGGAUUUGAGUGAUGCUUUGAUGAUAUGAAUUGAGGAUAUAAAUGUGGUACCAAUGAAGGUACAUUGGUUAGGCAUCUAUGAUGAUUGUUUUGACAUGUUUUGGCAGUAUCUGAUCAUUUUUUGAACUAGUUAAACGGAUGUUUUUUGAAUUGUUUAAUGUCCAAGCUUGCAGGGAAUGGUAAAUUAUUGUUUAAGGCACCUUUGAGGUCCACACGGCUAGACAUACGGGCGUGUGACUUGGCCGUGUGAGACACACAGCUAGCACACGAGCAUGUGAGGCCAUUUCAAAGGGUACACGACCUGGCACACGGGCGUACAAGUCAGAGAGUUACACAGGCACAAACACAGGCUAGGACACGACCAUGUGUCCCUGAUUCGAAUGCCCACACUGUUAGACACAUGGGCGUGUGACUUGGCCGUGUGAACCUUGUAGCUAAAAUUUUUUCCAACUUUUUCUAAAAAUUUUCAAAUGUUCCCGAUUUAGUCUAAAAUCGUUUCUAAACUGUUUUCAAACCCUCAAAGACUUAAUAUGGGAUUCUAUGCAUGUUAAUGAUGAAUUAUUUUAUGAUUUUUGAAAUGUCUGAAAUGAAUGAUAGAUUACGAUUCGGUAAUGUCCUGAAAUCCUAUCCUGACGACGGAUACGGGUUGGGAGUGCUAUAGUUCAAACCCCAUAAAAUAAUCAUUAAUGGGAGUAAUAAAGUGUGUAAAUCCGACAAUAUGUAUAUUUUACUCUCUCUUUUUAAAAUUAAAAAGAUUAAAGUACCAUAAAAAAAUAUAACUUAUUUUAUAUACAAAAAAUCAUUUUUAUAAUUUCCUAAUGAAUUAAUACCUGAUUAACUAAUAACAUUAACCUGCUGCUUUUUCUUAUUUCUUUGUAUUUCUAUAAUAAUAAUAACAAUAAUAAAGUUAACAAGUCACAUCUUAUGUUAAAUAUUAUAAAAUCAUUUUAUCCAAAUAAAAAUGGGUUAACAACUUAACAUCUUUUGUGCCUGGGCUCUUUCUUAAUAUAUACUUUUUGUUUAUUUAUUCUAUAUCUUAAACUCCUGAUUUAAUUUAUACUACGUGUUAAUUGGACAUUAAUUUGGGUAAAAAAAUUUAUAAAAAUAUUAUUUUUCUAUUACGAAAAGAGUAUUUUUGAGGUCUUUAUACUCAUUAUGCCUAGCAUUGAAUAUACCGGGUAUUCACCCUAUUAAAAUUUCAAAUCAAUGAUGGAGUUGAUUCGGAUCUUGCCUAAACGGCACCCAAAUCGAACCGAACCAUUUAUCAAGCUAUUUUUCCUUCAAAGUUAUAGAGUAAGACAUCAAUUUCUUAAAAAGAUCAAUUCUUUUGAUUGCAUGAUAGACUUCCCUGAAAAACAUUGGCGCACGUGUAAACGAGAUGCUCUACCAACUCAGCUAUAACCCUUGUGUUUGUGAUACAUAUUUUAUCAUAUUAUGUAGAUAAUUUAUUGUCAAGAUGAAUAUUACAUGAUCCAACAUCAUAAUCAUACCCUUUUGGUCGGUUUGAUUGGUAUAAAACAAGUUAUAUUAUUUAAAGGUACUUUAGUCUUCUUAAUUAAAAAAACAAUAAAAAAAUAUUGUUAUGAUUGCAUCAGUAAAACCUUUAAAUUAUCACUCAAUCACAACUUUAUUUUAUUUUUUAUACAUUUUAAUUUUAUUAUGCAAACUUUAUUACCUCUAUCAAUUAUAUAUUUAUACUAUUAUUUAAACUCACCUCUAUAUUUUAAAUACGUGAUUUCUGCAUGCAUACAUGUAUGAUAAAAUUUUAAUAUAUAUAAAGUAACUUUUAACUUAAAUUGAAAAAGAAAUCAUUGCUAGUUUUGACAAUUUUAAUAAAAAUGAAAGCUUUAAAUUUUUAAUAUUUAAAUUUCAUUUGUGUGUUUUCGGUCUCACUUUCUGGUUUCUCUCCCGUUUAUCUGACAUGUAUAUUUUAUUAUACUGUUUUUUAAGUCUCCAUUGUAUAAAAAAAUAAAAUUACUUUUACCAAUUUUUUAAGGUCAAUGUAUUAUUAUUGGUAAUUAAUCUUAUGUUUGUAAAAAUGAAUAAGGUCAAUAUAUUAUUAUUCCCACAUAUAUUUGUAUUUUUAAUAAAAUUUUGAAUUUUUUUUAAAUCACUAACAAUAAAUAACAAUAUAUGAUAAUUUUUAUCUUAUUUAUUUAAUUUUAUACAUGAAAUUUUUAAUCAAUUCGGAUGUGACCUCGUUAAAUCUCAAUAAGACUAGUUUCCAAUUAUGAUUUGAGAAAACUAUAAUCCUUUUAACUAAGAAUUAUAUUUAUAAAGAAAAGCAACCCAUUUUUGUAUUUCUCCUAAAUUAGGAAUAUACAUAAAACCAAACUAUCCGAAAAAAAAAAGAAAAAGAAAAAGAAAAAAGCUAAACCCCCCAAUAUAGUAAACUACAUAUAACCAAGGGGAAAAUUGUACCACUAAAAUGUAGGUCCAAAACAUCAUUGAGCUACUAAUUGGACACACCUUUGGUCCUUAAGCAAUUCAACAACCUUUCUCAUUGAAGGUCUAUUAAUAGGAAAUGCUGAUGUACACUUAAGUGCCACAUUCAAAACCCUUUCAAUUUCCUUCAUUUCAUAUGUUGAUGGCUUCAUCCUUGGAUCAACAAUCUCAGCUACUUUUUUGCCGAAAUACCCUCCGCUGUCGUUGCCGCCUUGGGCAGAUGCCGAUGGUGGCAGUGAUGAUAGAACAACCUCGGUGACCCACUUCACUAAAUCCUUGUUCUCGCCGAAUGAAGAGUCGUUAGGACGUUUGCCGGUGAUUAGUUCUAGCAAGACAACUCCGAAACUAUAUACGUCACUCUUUUCCGUCACCUUUAGUGUGUAACCAUAUUCUGCAAAGGGAUAGUAAACACGGUUAAGAUAACGGUCCAUCAUAGAACGCGGAACCGUUAUCAUUAUUAGUUGUUGUUGAUAAAGUGAUGAAAUGGAUUCUUUUUACUGUUACUUGAUCAUAUUAUUAACGACUACGUGGAAUUCUAGACAAUAAUUUUUAACUAAUAAUAAAUGUUCUAACCUGGGGCAAUAUAUCCAUGGGUUCCGGCAAUGCGAGACAUAGCUCCGCCGUUAGAACCGUCGUCCCCGGCUUCAAUUUGCAACGUUUUAGCCAACCCAAAAUCCGCCACGCGUGGCCGCAUCUCCUCAUCUAGCAAUAUGUUGUUACUCUUCACAUCACGGUGAACUAUAGGAGGCAGACAAUCAUGGUGCAAAUAAGCCAGCCCCUGAGCGGCGCCGACCGCAAUCGCGAACCGCUUCGGCCAAUCUGCUAAACCACCCCACUUGUCGCCAUGUAACACAUCGCCUAAGCUACCGUUUUCCAUGCACUCGUAAACUAAAACCCUGAACUCAUCCCCACUACAACACAUCAAUAGUUUCACGAUGUUGCCGUGUCGGAUCCGACCUAACGUCUCGGUUUCAGACCUGAAAACCUCUUCUGCCUCACGUUUAACACCCCAUAGCCUCUUAACCGCCACGGUUUGACCUGUUUUGAGUUUCACUUUAUAAACCCGACCCGACCCGCCUGUUCCAAUGAUACAAUCGUCUUUCAUGAACGGGAAUAUCUCAUCUUCGUUGAACUCAACCCGUUGAAACAAGGUGACUUUGUACGGCCGUCGGGUUUUGCUACCAAAUUUGGAUCGCGUUCUGAAAAACCAAAUGACCGACCCGAUAAGUAGUAUAAGGCAGACUGUUAAAAUACCCACAACGUAGAAGGUACCAGGUUUGAUUCUUGGGCAUGGAGGAAGCGGGUUCAAAUUCGGGCUACAAAGAUCAGGAUUACCUAAUAGACCCGAAAUGAAGAACUCAUUAUUGAAACCCGAUGGUACUUUACCGUUCAACAAAUUACCCGAAAGGUUAAACCGGUUCAACCUCAGCUUCGUUAAAUCUUCUGGAAUUUUACCGAUCAGUAAAUUACCGGACAAAUCGAGGUAAAUUAAUGCCGGUAGGUUACCGAGGGUAGGUGGGAUUUCGCCGGUGAAUCUAUUUCUGGCAAGGUUCAACUCAGUCAACUCAGUCCAUGAACCCACUGAACCUGGUAGAUUCCCUGUUAACUCAUUAUCUUCUAACUCAAGCGUUUGUAACUUCAAAUCAGUGAUACAUAACGGCAGUCCACCGGAAAAUCGAUUUUGGCUCAGAUUAAUUUGUGUCAAAUUAUGUAAUUUACACAUACCUUCUGGAAUGUCGCCAGAGAAAUUAUUACCGGAAAUUCGAAGAAUUGUUAGCUUUUGAAGUGCUGAGAUUGAAGGAGAAAUUGAACCCUCGAAAUGAUUGUUUUGUAAUUCAAAAAGCUGCAUUAAAGGCAGACCCCAGAAUUUUUCCGGCACGUUACCGGAAAAUGCGUUAUCACCCAUUCGAAUAUAAUUCAAGGACUCACAUUCGCCGUAGGAUUCCGGUAUGCUCCCCGAGAACCGAUUCGUAAAAAUGACUAUGCGCUGAAGCUUCCUUUUGUGACAAAGAAACGGCGGUAACUCGCCGGAGAAAUAAUUAGUCGAAACAUCGAAGUCUUCUAAAGGAGAAAACUUACCGAGGUCGGACGGUAACUUUCCGGUGAAGCUGUUGUUGAAGAGCUUUAGCUGUGAGAGAUAUUGAUUCGAAGCUAAAACUUCAGGGAUUUCACCGGUGAAAAAGUUGUCAUUGAGAUUCAAAGACUCGAGAGGCAUUGCAGCGAUUUUCUCCGGUAAUUUUCCGGUGAGGCUGUUCUGUGAGACAUCGAGUCGAAGUAGACUUGUCAACUCAGCUAAACUCUCAGGUAACUCACCGGUUAACUGGUUUUGAUAAAGCUCGAUUUGCUCCAGUUUCUUUAACUUCGAUAAGCUUUCUGGGAUUUUACCAAUCAGGAAAUUACAUGUUAAAUCCAGACUCUUUAACGAAAUGAGAUUCCCAAUCGAAAACGGAAUUUCGCCGACGAGAUUCGCGUUCGUCAACCAUAAAUAUUCGAGCUUCGACAAGUUUCCGAUCUCGUCCGGCAAUGGACUCGGUUUGAAAGGAUUGUACCCGAGUGCGAAGUCAGUUAACUCAGUAAGAUUACCCAGAAAAGAAGGUACCUUUCCGUUGAGUAGGUUCCCACCAAGUGAAAGAACUUUGAGAGAUUUCAUCCGUCCGAAACUCACUGGAAUAUCGCCGGUGAAAUUAUUGUUAGAAAGCUCAAGAACUUCCAAAUGCUCCGACGAGAAAUCCGGUAACUCGCCGACGAAUAUGUUACCCGAAAGAUCAAUCUUCCGUAGACGAAAACACGGAGAAAUAGCCUGAGAAGACAGUGAACCGUUGAGGUUAUUAUCGGCGAGAUAAAGAGUUCGAAGGGUCCGAAUCCGACAAAACUCAAACGGAAACCCACCAGAGAUUCCAAACCCAGAAAGAUCAAUCGAAGCAACAGUACGGUUACGAGAUUCACACCAAACACCGGUCCAAUUACACGGACUUUGAUCAGGCGUCAAAAUAACCCAAUCGCGUAACCGUCCAUUCGGAUCAUCAAGCUGAGAAUCCUUGACGCGAAUCAGUAUUUGCGAAUCUCCAUUGAAAGAAACCACGAAAGUGAAAACACAAACAACCCAAAAAAGGAAACAAAUCAAAGCUUUCAAAUCUGGGUUUCUCAUUUUCAAUCCAAAAACAAGAACACCACUCGAAAAAUCAUGGCUUUUUUGCUUUUGGGGGGGUGGUUUUGUUUUUAAGUGAAAAAACAGUGACGGUUACUGCAUGAAGACGAUGAAGAUUAAAGAUUUAAACUUUAUUUUUUUUCAAGUUCACAUGAAAAAAGCGAUUCAAAAAUGGAAUCUUCUACUACUUUUUUCCACUGUUUAUUUUAUAAUUAUGGGGUGUGUCGCCAAAUGACAUCGAAUUGCAGCAUUGGAAUCGAAGUGAAUUUGUGGUUUACAGUGGUGGGGGGGGGGAGGUAACUUAGAAAACGUGAUUUGGUGUUUCGUUUAGGCAGUUUAUUAAGGAAAGAGGAAGUGACAAAAAGCAGAUGCUUUUAUUGGGUUUGCCAAAACAGAGAAUUGAUGCAAGAUUAAUGUGAUUUAUUAUCAUAAUUUUCCUUUUCUUGGAUUUUGAAAACUGACUUUCAAAUAUGAAAAUUUUGUUGUAUUAGAUUUAAUUUGAGAGCAACGGGGGUGUUUGAAAAUGAAAGUUAAAAAGGGAAAACUAGGAGUAAGAUUAUGUAUUAGAUUUAGGGUGGGUUUGGAUGGGUAAUUGGGCGUGAUGUUGUGCAUUUAGUUUAUUUUUUGUCUCACGCUACUGUAUUGCUACAAUAUCUAAUCACACUGCCACCACUAUUUUUAUAUUAUCCACAUAUAAACGUACCUCCAUCUAAACUCACCCUUAAUUUUCCUUUUUUUUUGUUGAUUUUUAUUAUUGAAAACUAGCGGAAUAGUUAAAUAGUUAUAUUUAGUGUCAUGUGUAUUUUUAUAUUGACAUAUAAAAAAUAAUUUUUAACAUUAAAAAAUGAGUAUAAAUUUUAACAAAAUGAUAAAUUUGUUUUCUAAUAUAUAAUAAUAAUAAUAAGAGAAAAUAACAGAUUAGAUAAAGACCACCCAUUGAAAAUUAUGUCAGCAUUAUCAGUCUACAAUAUUUAAACAAUUGCCUCUCAAGGAUAAUGAAAGAAUUGUAAAAAUGUAAUUUCAUCAUUUUAAUAGUCCAUUUCUUUAUAAUUUUUAAAAGAUUAAAUCAAAUUUUUAUUUUUUUAGGGGGUCAAAGUAUAAUUUUACCUUUAGUGAUUUAAAUUUUAAAAAAAUUUAAAGGCCUAAAUGGAAACUUUUUCAUUUGGGAGGAUGAGAGCUCCUGUCAACCCUCUUAGUUUUGCCCCUGAAAUACUAAGUCUCUUAAUCUUGCUAGGUUCGUCAUCACAUCAGUAGCAGGGGUAAAGUCAGAAAAAAAAUUUAGAGGGUCAGAAUUAAGUUGUAUAUUUUUUCGAUAUUAAAAAAUACAAUUUUACAAUUUUAAUAGCAUAUAUCUUUAUAGUUUUGAAGGAUUAAAUUAAAAUUUUAUUAUUUUUGGGAGGCAAAGUAUAAAUUUACCAUUAUUAAAUUAAAAAUUUAUAAAUUACAAAUUAGUUAAAACUAAAAAAAAAAUCAUUUUAGGGGAUUAGUGCCCCUUAUAACCCCCUAGCUCUACCCUUAGUUACAUGGUUUACCUUCUCUACAUAUAUACACAACUUCCACUUAUCAAGGUCGUUUUGGUCUAAUGUAUAAAUAUUUAUUUAUUUAUUUUUUAAAUAAAGUAAAUAAAAUAUAAUUCAAUUCAUAAUACAAGUGUCACCAUAAUAUUUUUACAAAAAUGAAAUUGCUUUAAAAUUUGAUUAUUGGUUAUGAAUUUUUUUUAAUUUUAUAAACCGAAUGAAAAUAUUAUGAGGUGUGCUUUUUAAAAUAUUAAUUAAAAUUAUAUUUUUAUUAAAUUAAUUAAAAAAAAGGGAGUAUGAAAUUUCGUUUUAAUUAGAUAAUUGGAGGUGCCAAAUAUCAUAGGCAAAUUGAAGAAUAAUUAAGGGAAUUUGGAAGGGUUUGGUUUCAGUCAAUUCAUUCAUGUGCAUUGUAAGAUAGCCUAAAAUUGGUAAAAAGGAAGGGUUUUAAUUAAAAUAGUAUAGUAGAUUCUUUCCUCUAAAAAAAUAAGAUCAUGCAUUAUCCAUUUUAUAAAAUUUUAUUACUUAAAUAAUUCUUCAAUCAAAAUGUUAUAUCAGUUUAAGGAUAUGUAUUGAAUUAAUUGAUUUACAAAUCGAUAUAGACUUAUUGAAUCGAGUUAAAAAAUGGGUUGAAUCAGUUUUCUCUCUUUUUUUAAUAAUAAUUUAUUGGUUUAAUAUUAAUUUAAUUAUAAGUUUUUAUCAUAUCUGUUUUUUAUACAAUGCUUAACUAUCUGUAACCCCUCCCCAACCCUUAAAUAGGAGGAUAAUACGUUUUAAUACACUAGAACCAAUAUCCUCUUACAUUUACAAUAAUAUUAAUACCAAUCGAACUAUUUUAAAAUCACGAUACGACAGGGGAAAAAAGCUAAUAUAGUGGGAGGGACUAGGGAGAAGUUUUUUUUUAUUUUGCAGUGUUCCAAUGUAGGGGCAUUAAACACGAUUAGAAUGUGAUUUGUGGUCAAAUUGGACCUUGAAAUGUGAACUUUGAGGAUGAAAAUAAAGUAAUUAAAAAGAUAGAGCAUCCCCCGGGCUCUUCGUCGCCGUGAUGACUCGGUUGUUUCGAUACCCGAGGUCGAGACCCUGUCUUAAUUACCCAAAUUAGGAGUGCCUUGAAACCACAACAUUAUUCAUUCGUGCCUAUAUUUAUUAUUAUUUAAUUCACAUUUGAGUUUGGUUUAAUCCUAGAAAAUAAUAUAUUAAUUAUAUAUGAGUUAAAUAUUUAUAUUGUUAUAUAAAAUAUGUCGAUUAGGUCUUAAUUUAAUUGAUAUCUAUAUUGUUAUCAGUGUAAAAUGAUAUGAGUGUACGUGUUUUUAUUUAAGGAUUAAAGAGAGACUAUAAAUAAUUUUAAAAAUUAUAUAAGAAAAUAUAUAUGAUAAAAAUUUAUAACAAGAUUCAUAGUAAAAAAAUUUAAUUUUAUACUUAUAAUAAGUAUAGAUAAUGUUUUUUUUUUUGAACUCUCACGUACAAAAGUCACAUUUUUCUCUCGUGACUCACACACACAAAUAUAUAUUUAUAGAUCCGAAGGCAAAAACUUGGUUGAGCUAACACAUCUGGUUCUCAAUUAUAAUAAUCUAUAAAGAAAAAGAAACAAAAGUUAAUGAUGUUGGUUAUAAGUGCUUUAAUCCAUGGUAAGUAGAGAUUAUGUCAACAUCAACUAGUGAUUAACAGAGAUAUCUCCAGCUUUAUUUAGAUUUGCUUUUAUUAAUUAAUUAUUAGUUAACAAAUUCAAAACUCACUUUGGGUGUCAACCUACCAUAAGACUUGAGAAUUCCAAAAAAAACAAAAUUAAAAUUAACAGCUUGGAUUUUUGAUAUUCAUGAGUUGGGUUGAACUAAAUUAAAAUCUAAAUUUAAAAAUAUUUUUAAGCAAAAGCCGAUUUUUAGGGUUGACGUAUUUAGGUAAGCUCGAUCUGCUCAAAAAUUUUAUUUUACUACUUAAAAAUAAUAAACUAUGGUUUUAAUUGAUAUUUUAUAUAAUUUUAUAGUUAAUUUUAAAUUGAAUUUAGGACCAGACGAAACCGAUAUGAGAAAUUUUGUAUUCAAAAUUGACCUUAGUUGAAUCAAAUUUACCGAAUUGAGCCAAGUACCCUACGUUUGAACAGGUCUAUUAGCAAGAGUAAGUCAAAAAGUCUAUGGGUCUAGUGGGGUAUUUCUUUUAUGCAUCUUUUUCAACAUUCCAUUGGCUGUAAUGGCAGCCGCUGUUGACUGCUUUAGAAGAACUGUAGGGUUACCUGAACCCCCAAAAUUCUAGAACACUGGGUAGACACAAUUGAAAGAUUAUUGGACUGGUAGAUUUAUUUUGGGUUAAAUCAAGUUUUAAGAUUUUUUAAUAUUUUUAUUUAUGUAAUUUGAGAUUAUUUUGGGUUUGAUCAAUUCAAGCUCGUAUUAUUUUAAGUAAUUUAUUCGAAUCAUUUCAAAUUAAAAUAUUAAAUUGUGAAGAACUCAAGUUUGAAUAAGAAUUAAGUUGAAAAUCAAGUACCCAAGCCUUUAAAUAAAUCUAUUUAGCCAUUCGUCCUGGUGGGUGCUGUUCUAACUUGCUUGGGGGGAUAGAUAAAAGUAAUGUCAACUGGGGUUUCUAAGUUUGGAUUAUUGAUAGUUGCUUCACUUAGAAGAUGAUGAAUGAGGAAGCCAAUCCUUUCUACUAAGUAAUUGGGCAAAUAUUAAACUUGAACUUCAAGCUAAGCUUAUAUAUAUAUAUAUAUAUAUGAUCUUUUCCAUAUUUUAAGGCAGUGCAUCUUCCACUUUGAUAAUAUGAAUGCCAUUUUUUAAAGUGAUGAACAUAAAGCCAAAACAGGUCACAAUCCUUCACAGUCUAAUAUAUUAGAGAAUUUUCUUCAUUUUUUUCAAUACAACGAAUAAAAAUGCAAUUUAUCAUACUCUUAAUUUCGAUGACAAGGACUCAAAUUUUGGAAAUUAUUUCUUUUUAAAAAAAAUUUAGAUGUUAUUUAUUUUUACCAUAUUUAAGUUUAUGAUUGAAAUAGUGUCGUCAGUUAACUUGUUUUUAAUUUAGUUGAGAAAUGAUUAAAAUAAUAAAGAUGUAAUGAUAAAUUAACUCCUAAAGUUUAUUCCUUUUAUUACUUUGGUCUUAAUUCUUCUUUUUUAUGGGAGGGGGGGACUACACUAGUAUUCCUUAACGUUCAAAUUUUGGUCAAAUUAUUUCUGUUUUUUGAAUUGUUAAAAUUUUAACAGCAUUGAUGUGUAUGUGUACUCCAUUCUUGAUGUGGAUUUUUUUAAAGAAAAAAUUAAAUAUUUUUUAUGUAUUUUUUAAUUUUUAUAAAGUACUCAUAAAUCACUAUGUGAAUUGUCAUGUCAGUUCUGUUAAAAUUUUAACAGUCAAGUCAGUUUUUCCCUUAAAUUACUUUAAACUUAAAGGUUAAGGACUAAAAUGAUAAUAAAAAUUAACCAUUAAAAAUUAAAUUACCAAUAAUAAAUAUUACGAUAAAAAUAGUUUUAUUUUUUAUUAAAUAUUUUUACAUAAAAUUUAUAAAGAUCAAUUUUAUCAUUCCAAUCAAAACUUUAUUUUUCUUUUACAUAAAAAAAUGUCAUCCAAAAAAAUCAUAAUGUAGUGUAUAAUACAGACAUUGAUGUUAGAUUGUAAUUAUAUUAGCAUAGUAACUUGGUUUUCGGGGGAAAUAUUAUAAAGUACUUCAAAAGUUUCACAUGCCUAAAAUUCUUUUUGGUCUUGUUUAUGUGUAUUUUGGAAGCAAAUUAGGUUUAUAAUAUAAUUAUUAUUACUUUUUAAACAAUUUUAUUAUAGGUUUUGAUCAUAUUUGUUUUUUUUUUUAACAUAAUACCUAAAAUUAUCUAUAGCCCAUCCCUAACCGAUAAAUAGGAGGAUAAUGCAUUUCAGCGCACUCAAACCACGUCCUUCUGUCACGGGGCUAGACCUUUCGUCUCGCAAACCGUGCGGCCUUAGGCGAUCCGUUUGCUUCAAACUCUCCUAAGUCAGCCUUUACGCCCAAAAGUGAGGAUUCUUUAGAACUCCUCCAAGGCACCAAUUUGUAUAGCGAAAGCGAUUGUGCCAAAAGAAGCUACAAGAGAACAACAGAAAGAGCGUUCACAAAGUGUUUGAGUAAAUGCUCUCAAUUCUCUUAUUCACAAAGAAUAAUGAAACAAUUCAGGAGUGAGUACAAAUGAGGGGGAGGCUCUCUAUUUAUAGUUGAGCUCCCCCAAAACCGACGGUCAAGAUACAUUUACAUCGACGGAUGAGAUUUAACCAUAUCCCUUAAUUUUAGGGAUUUACAAGAUAAGCCUUAUCAAAUCUAAUCUAAUAUUUACAAGAUAUGAUUCCCUCUAUCUUCUAAGAUUAGUUACCAUAUUAGCCUAAGUUGCCAUCUCUUCAUUAUCGGGCCAACUAGGCUUCAAUCUGACAGGCUUAUCUAAUAGCUCUUUGAAUCGGGCCAGUUCUCAUAGGCCAAAUGAUCCCCAUCUAAGUAAUAGACCUCCAUUGGAUGCAUUUGGUGUGAUGGUCACGGGUUUUAAACUGCAGCCCGUGACAUUCUCCCCCACCCAUUCUCGCAACGCCCUCGUUGCGACUUCUGAAUGGCACUGACUUGAUUCGCCUCGGUCUCGUCUCGACGCCUUAGCCUUUCCCUUCUUUCGAGACUUUUGCCUCGGCAUACGUCGCUUCUUAACUCAAGCCAUCCUACUCGCUGCAUUUACUCUGGUCCACUAUCCCACAUGCAUCGUUUCUUUUUCCUUGAAGUCUGAUGCACCACCCACCUCUCCCAUAGGUGGAAGCAUUGUCGAUGACUCUGCCAACUCUGAUGCUUCACUCAACUUGAGCCUCAUUAGUCCUAGCUUCACUGUUUUCAUCGCAACUUUUCCCUUUAAGUCCAAUGACAAACUCACCUCUUCCUUUGGUGGAAGCCCCUCCGAUGACUCAACAAGCUCAUACAUUGCCUUUCUUUUGACUCCGGCUUACUUUGGACAGUUUCGCAACUCAUGCAGACCACGGCACAAGAAGUACUUUACUCGCUUCUUUUUGCUCCUCUUUGCCCUCUUGGCUUCGGCUUUUCCCUUGCUUGAACCAAACUUCUUGGGCUCCUUGUCUGCUCCAUCGUUUCCCUCGAUGACAGACUUCAUCGGACACUUCCACAACCUAUGCGGACCACGACACAAGAAGCACUCCACUGACUUUUUCUCGCUUUCGGCCUCCUUGCCUUCGACACCCCUUGCACUCAAACCAAGUACCAAGGCCUUACCCACCGACUUCUCCUUAAGCGCGGAUUUCUUCGGACAUUUCUUUAACAUGUGUGGACCGUCGCAAAGAAAGCAUUUCAGCUUGUCCCUUUUCCUCUUGGGUUUCUUCUUCCCAACUCGUGGUUUCCCAUUACCACCAUUGUCGCCAUUGCCAUUGCCAUCAACGAUAUCUUCCUUGUGAUCCAUUUCACAUACGUCCCUUUCCUCAGACUUGGAAGACCCAAGCUUGUCUUUCCCUAGACCAAGCUUGACCACGGACUCAACUACCGUCAUGGCUUCCGACAGCUUUUGGACACCUCUUUGUUCCACCUUCUGUCUGACCCACGGCUUCAAUCCAUUCUAAAAAGCAAGCAAUGCCUCUCUUUCGGUCACCUCUGAAAAUUGGAGCAUGAGUUCCUUAAACUCUUGAACAUACUCCCCCACUGUGCCCCGUUGCGUUAUCCCUUGCAACUUUGCCCGAGCUUCUUCCUCGGUAAACUCUGGGUAAAACUGUCCCUUCAACUCGCAUUGAAACUCUUGCCACGUUCCAAUCUCACUUUGCCUUUUAUCUGUGGUCCUACCUCACCACCAUAAAAGCGCAAUGUCAGUAAGAAACAUUGAAGCAGUAUUUACCUUAUCCGCAUCAUGCACGAUGCCUUUGGUACGGAAGUAGUGUUCUAUCCUCCACAAGAAAUUGUCCACAUCGCAUGCAGACCUUGUCCCUACAAACUCUUUCGGCUUUGGGACAUCCUCGUUACUGAGUGCUGCACUUGACACUCUAUUCCUCGCGGCUGCUCGGCACAAGGCCAGCUCUCCCUCGAGUUCCUCUAUUCUUGUACUCAAAGCCUUCGUCGUGGCCAUUUUUUCCUCUUUCAAAGCCAUCAUCAUGGCCUCGAGAGCAUCGUUUCUCUCCGUCAAUUUCUUCCUUUGGGAAUCUAGCAACUCUCGCACGUUAUCCUUUUGGGAAGUGAGACACGUGGUAACAAAGUCUCUGGACUGCUCCCUCAAGUCAUCAAUGCUUUCCCCAAGCGCAUUGCCUGACGCUUUUGCGUCCUCCAUGAACUCCUCAAGUUUACCCAAGCGUUCCUCAACAGCCGACAACAUCUCCCUCAAAGACUUCCUCGCCCACAUUUGUUCGAACUCUUCUCUCGACAUCCCAACGGUGCCUUUAAACCAACUCGAAUAUCACUUGGUUCAAAACUUGGCUCGGAUACUACUUGUCACGGGGCUAGACCUUUCGUCUCGUAAACCGUGUGGCCUUAGGCAAUCCGUUUGCUCCAAACUCGCCUAAGUCAGCCUUUACGCCCAAAAGUGAGGAUUCCUUAGAACUCCUCCAAGGCACCAAUUUGUAUAGCGGAAGCGAUUGUGCCAAAAGAAGCUACAAUAGAACAACAGAAAGAGCGCUCGCAAAGUGUUUGAGUAAAUGCUCUCAAUUCUCUUAUUCACAAAGAAUAAUGAAACAAUUCAGGAGUGAGUACAAAUGAGGGGGAGGCUCUCUAUUUAUAGUUGAGCUCCCCCAAAAUCGAUGGUCAAGAUACAUUUACAUCGACGGAUGAGAUUUAACCAUAUCCCUUAAUUUUAGGGAUUUACAAGAUAAGCCUUAUCAAAUCUAAUCUAAUAUUUACAAGAUACGAUUCCCUCUAUCUUCUAAGAUUAGUUACCAUAUUAGCCUAAGUUUCCAUCUCUUCAUUAUCAGGCCAACUAGGCUUCAAUCUGACAGGCUUGUCCAAUAGCUAUUUGAAUCGGGCCAGUUCUCGUAGGCCAAAUGAUCCCCAUCUAAGCAAUAGACCUCCAUUGGAUGCAUUUGGUGCGAUGGUCACGGGCUUUAAACUGCGACCCGUGACACUUCUACAUUGACAACAAUAUUUAUACCAGUCGAGCUAUGACUCAAUCGGCAUAAGUUAAUUAUCUUGGUGCUAAAGGAGACAUACUAUAAAACAUGUCCAUAGAACAUAGGCAACAUCCAAGGGAAGCACAAAAAUAUUGAAUAGAUACUUCACUUUGUUUAAAAUUAUCUUAAUGUUAAAUGGAACAAUUUAAUCCAUAUAUUAUUAUAAAAUUAAAUAAAGUGAAAUGGAGUUAGCAUUUACUGUUAAAAAUAUCAUUUAUUAUUUAACGAAUAUAAUAUUUUUAAAGUUUUUAUGGUUCUAUAAAUAAAAUGUUUUGUUUAGAAUUUAAUUGCAAUUGAAAAAAAAUAAGUUUCAAGAUAUUUUUUAUACGGUAAAUGUUAACAUUUUUACAAUUUAGACUUAUUUGGUUCUUUUUUAUAAUAUGAGGAUUAAAUCAAUCCAUUUGAUAAUAAAUGGACUAAUUUGAUGUGAUCUCUAUAAUACAGGGACCUCCUAAGUGCUUUAACCAUUUGGAUAGUCAAGGAAGGCUUGGUAUAGUUAGUUAGCAAAGGCAAGGCCUUGGAUCUUGAGUAUCUAAGUUUAAGACUCACCAUGCACAAUUAAAUCCGUGGGUCUUUGAGUUUCACCAUGAGCAAUUGUUAUGUGUGAGUUUUAGUCUGAUUAGUUCGUAAUAGUUUGAUUAUACGUUUGGUGGUUGCUUGGACAUAUAUUUAUACUUAUACGAUACUUGUGGAUGAAUAUUUGAAUAUAUUUUAUACAAAAUUUAGUUCUAUCCUUAACCCCUUCCUACUUUUAAAUUGAAGGAAAAGACGCACUUAAAUGUGUUUGAAUUCAUAUUCUCCUUAAUUGUUAUAAUUGUAAUUGUGUCAAUUGAAUUAAGACUCAAUCGAGAAAUGAGAUGCCAUUGUUUGCUAUUCUCUAAAAAUGGUGUUAUAUUUGAUAUUGGUUUAAAUUUGGCUGUUACCCUAUACUUGUUAAAAGCUAUAAAUUAAAUCUUUGUAUUUUUAUUUAGUCAUUUUUAAUCUUUGUAUUUUUUAAAAUUUAAAAUUUUAGUCUUCAUCAAAGUGUAAUUGUUAAAUCAAAAGAUAAAUCGAGAGAUAAAAGUAAAUGAAUAAGCUAAUAGCUUUGAAGUGAAAAAUUUUAUCCUUGUAUCUUAAGGGAACUCUUACCUUUGCAUACUUUUAAAAUAAUUUAUUGCCAUAACAAAGACUAUAAUUAAUUAGUAGCUUAGAUUAUAAAAGCGAAGGCAAAGCUAAAAAAACCCUAUAAAAAUGUAUGUGGAUGUUGCGACUACUUUGAAUCCUGGAGAUUUAGUCAUGGGAGGUGUAUGUCGAGAUAAUGUUGGAUCUUGACUAUUUGGAUUUACUGGGAAGUUAGGAUAUGGGCACAACACCAAAGUUGAGUUUUAUGCUAUAUAUAAUGGUCUUCGUCUGGCAUGGGAACAUGGCAUAAGGAAUCUUGUUAUCGAGUCAGACUAACUUGUGGCUAUUAACAAUAUUUUGACCCCUUUGCAACAACAUGAUCCUCUCUCCUUAAUGAUCCAGAUUUGUGAGCUGCGUCAAUGCAAUUGGACUUGUAGUCUUGAUCAUAUUUAUCGUGAAGCUAAUAUGUGUGUGGAUUUUUUUGGUGAGCUGGGCAUUUCAAGGGCCUUUGGUGUAAUUAAGCUGGUUCACCCUCCAAGAAUCUUACCAAGGAUAUCCAAGAGGACAUUAUUGGUGUAACUAGGCCUAGGGCCAUUAUUACUUAAAGAGGUCUUGGACCGCUCCUAUGUACAAAAAAAAAACCCUAUAAAAAUUAGAACCAAUUAAUUUCCCUUUGACUUGUCAAAAAUAAUUGUUUUUUUCAACAUUAAUUAACUGUAAAUUAAAAAGUAUUGAAAAUUAUGAGAUGGCUUUUAGAUUUACCAUAAUUUAUAGUUUUAACAUUUUUUAACAAACAUUUAUACUUUAUUAUUCAAUUAAAAUCUUAUUUAAUAUUUAUAUUAAUUUUUUUAAAAUUUAUAUUAGAUAAUUAUGAAUAUACCAUAAUCUAAUAUAUAUUUUGACCCAAUAGAUAAAAUAUGUUCAAAUAUGCUAAGUCUUUAUAUUCUUUUAAAUUUGGAAUUUAGUUACUGUAGUUUUACUUUUAGAAAUUUAGCCUUUUUACUUUUUAGAUUUUAAAAUUCAAAUCCAACUGUUAACUAGAGGUGCUCAUGGGACUAGUUAGGUCGGGCCUAAGCAUGAUAUUAACAUACUUUAUAUUUGCUUAAACCCAUCCCAACUCAAAAUAUGGGAUUAAACUUUGCCCAAAUCCGUUCAUAUUUGUAAAAAAACUAAGUCAAGUCCAUUUUAGGUCCACCCAUAUUAUUUAAAAAAAAUAUUUAUUUUAUUUAAUUUUAAUAUUUAAUAAUUUUAUUCAUUUUUUAUUUAUUGAAAAUUUUUAUAUAGUCAUAUUAACAUUAUUUUAAUGUUUACAUUAGAGUAGUAUUAUAUAUUUAAUAUAAGUUUCUUUUUUUAAUGUGUUCUAAAUUACAUAAUAUAUAAAAAUAACAUAAUAUAAAGUAUUAUAAACUUAAAAAUGGGUCGGGUCGGGCUGAGCUUGGGCCUUGAAUGUUCAAGCCUGUCCCAUAUUUUAAACGGGCCUUUUUUUACCUAGACUCAUUUUUCGAGCCUAAUAUUUUUGUCUAAACCCUUCCAAAUUUUGGGUGAGCCUUUGAGCCUGGAUAGAUAACUCAGCCCAUGAAUAGGUCUACUGUUAAUACAAUUAUAAUUAAUUUGUUAAAUUCAAGUUCAUUCCAACUUCAUAUUUUUAGUUACAUUAAUACUAAGUGAUUUUUUUUUAUCAAAAUAACACACUAACAAAUUUAAUAACAAAAUUAUAUAAUUAGAAACCCUUUUCACUCUUCUUCUGUGACUGUUAAAGCUUGGGACCAGAACGUCAACGUUUCGUCUAUGUUGAUUGUAUAGGUGGGAAAAAGGCAACAGUGUUGUUGAUGUAUUACCAAUGACCAAAUUGGAUGAGUUUAUGGAAAUGGUGGAAUUAUUUAUAAGGACAUCAAAUAUCAUACCGAUAUUCAAAUUACUUAAGUUUUAAGAAAUGCUAAGAGGAAGAAGGUGGAUUAUUUAUUAGAAUUUGCUUUUGUUGAUCCACUUUGAGAUGAUAAGAUUGGGUUUGGUUGAUUAGAAUUUCAGUGAGGUAGAUGUGUCGGAAUUUGUGUUUUAAGAGGACGAAAUUUUGAAAAUAAGCGAGAGUUGUAGGUGUAAAAACUCGGAGGUUUAUGGAGAUGUUGUUUAAGUGUAUGACUGGGUUGAUAUCAUAAAUUAAUUCGACACCAAUUCAAUUAAUAAAAUUAUUAAAAUAUCAUUUCAUAUUUUAAAUAAAGCAUAUUAUUAUUAAGGAAAAAACCUAAUAAAAAAGUUGCAAAUAUUAAUAUUUGAACUCAUACUUUUAACAUCUAUAAAAUCUUGUCUUUAUCGUUUUAACUAAAGCUUUAUUUUAAUAUUUUUAUACAUUUCAAUGUCAUUACACAUUGUUUCACCCACAUUAUUUGCAUGUUACACAUGUUUUAAAUAUGUUAUUUCUAUAUGUAUACUCGUGUGAUAUAAUUUCUAAUAUAUUUGGGUCUUUAAUGUUGAUUCUCUUUAGCUAGUAAUACUUGGCCAUCGGAUAUCUUGAAUUUCAUCGCUCUUUAAGAUGCAAGUUGCUUAUAUAUAUAAUGAUAUAACAAUUUUAUUUAUUUAUUUUUGUAUAAUUACAUGUAUUUUUACCAGUUUUACGGUCUAAGUUUAAUUUUGUUCAAACUAGUGAUGAUUCUAAGAUUUGAACUCAGUCCGAAUAAUUGGGAAAGAAGUCUACUACUACUUUUUCCUGACCACUUGUUUUUAAAAACAUAUAUUUAAAAUUAAUAUGAGAAAUCAAUACAUAAAAAAAAUAGAAUUAUUUUUAAAUUAGUCUUAAACUUCAAAAUAUUCUAACUACAUCUCUAAACUAUUGAUGUUAUAUCAAUUAGGUCCCUUCAUUAUUAAAUUUGUUAAUUUAACUGUUAAAUGACACGUCAGAAUUUAUCUAACAUAAUUUAAAAUGAAAAUUUUAAGAAAAAUGAAUAUUGCAAAAAUAGAUGUUUGAAAAUCUUAAUUUUAUGGUAUUCAAAACUUUUACAAAAAUUUUACCAUGUACUAUUUUUUCAGUUUACUUUAUUUUUAAUUUUUACUUUUAAAAGUUAUUCAACAACGUUCUAUUUAUUCAUUUUAAAUUUAGCUAUAUAAGAUUUGAUGUAUCAUUUAUCGGUUAAUUUAACAAUUUUAAUAGCGAAAGGACCUAGUUGAUAUAAUAUCAAUAGUUUAGGAAUGUAAUGAGAACAUAUUAAAGUUUAGGGACUAAUUUAAAACAAAAGUCAUAGUCUAGGGAUGUCUGGUGUAAUUAACUUCAAAUAACAUUUUAGAAAAAAAUGAACUAUCUUUAACUCAUAUGAAGCAUUAACUAAAACUCUCAUCAAACUCUUAAGUGGUGCAAGUUUAAAUUAUAUCACAAAAGUUCUUAAAAAUUAAUUUUUUAAUUAUUGAUCCGAUGGAUUGAUUGGAUUUAGAUAACCAUGACCCCUUCCACCGCUAUCAAAAAGAAGAAAUUUGAGCCUGAAGCCCUAAAGGGUUUUCUUGGGCUUCGAGAAGUACAUGCAUUCCUUGUCUAAAUCGGGCCUAACGAGUUCAUAAGAAAUAAAUCGGUGGAUGAUUUGAGAUUUGACAUAAGAAGAGAUUCGUAGAAGUGGGGAAAGUUCUAACAGAAUUCCCACUGCUUCCAAACCCAAAAUUUUUAAUUUUUUUCUGGGAAUGUGCAGUUCAAGAUAAGAUAGCUUUACACGUUUCCCAAUUCAGCAAUCCAUUUCUGCAACCAAAAACACAAAACACUCCAUCAAUUUAUAAACUCGAAGCAAUUUGAAGAAAUCCCAUCACUCAUUUCACCUCCAAUCCUUUUAAAAACAGGGCAUUCAAUAUGCAGGAGACCAAUAAUUCUCGAGUCAACCAACGAAUUGCAACAAUCUCGGCUCAUCUCAACCCACCCAGUUUUUCCCACAUGGAGGGUAGUUCGGGUUUGGGUCGAGCUGACUGCCGAGCCGAAGGUGGGUCAACUGGUUUCAAGGUGGCGAUUUUGGGAGCGGCAGGUGGGAUAGGGCAACCGUUAUCAUUGUUGAUGAAGAUGAACCCUUUGGUUUCUGUUCUUCAUCUUUAUGAUGUGGUUAACACUCCUGGUGUUACUGCUGAUAUUAGCCACAUGGAUACUGGAGCUGUGGUAUGCUAGUGUUUUUCAAGUUCCCUUUUACGUAAGAAUUUCUUUAUUGAUUGAAAAUUGAAAUCCAUAUAUAAGUUCUAAUUAGUGGUGGAAAUGGAAUUGGUAGACUUAAGAGUAUUUCUGGGUUGUUCUUGCUUGUUGAGUUGAAUUUCAUGUUGUUGAAUGGGAAUCAAGAUAGAAUUAUGAUCAAGCUGUAGUUAAGAUAACAAAGCAUCAAAAUUCAACCUUGAAACCAAUAGGCAAUGAAGCUGACAACUUUACCCCACAAGUUUUAUGCUUGAUUAAUAUAAUCCAUAUAUAAGAAUUAUGGUUUUUCUUAGUAAUGUUGUUGAAUUUUUUAGGUUCGUGGAUUUCUGGGGCAACAGCAAUUGGAGGAGGCUCUAACAGGAAUGGACCUUGUAAUUAUUCCAGCUGGAGUUCCUAGGAAACCUGGAAUGACAAGGGAUGAUCUUUUCAACAUCAAUGCUGGAAUUGUUAAGACACUGUGUGAGGGAAUAGCUAAGUGCUGUCCCAAUGCUAUUGUCAAUUUGAUUAGUAAUCCUGUUAAUUCCACCGUUCCGAUCGCCGCAGAAGUUUUCAAGAAAGCUGGCACCUUUGAUCCAAACCGACUUCUGGGAGUCACAAUGCUUGAUGUUGUGAGAGCCAAUACGUUUGUGGUAACUACAAAACUUGCCAUUGGUUUAUCAUUCUUUGUUGUUAAUUAGCCAACUCUGGAUUUUCCCACACAACGUUGAAUAGGUUUCCUUUGUAUGGUAAUCAUAAUGCUUGCCUUUAAUGUAUUUUCUUCUUCACUGGUAAUGAACCAAAUCUGGAUUCUGAUAGACAUUGAUGGAUCUGUUUUUUUCCAAAAUAGUAUAUGUAUCGUAUAUGCCUAUAAUGGAAACUGUAUAAUCUAUGGUGGGAUAAACUGUUACUAAUGUUCAUUUCUGAUGUUCUCUUGUAAUUUUUGCCCUCAUUAGUUUGGUUUCUUUAUAGGCGGAAGUCAUGGGUCUUGAUCCGCGGGAGGUUGAUGUUCCAGUUAUUGGGGGACAUGCAGGGGUUACUAUUUUACCUCUUCUAUCUCAGGUUGAAAAGUACUUGUUUUCAAUUCAAACAAUUUUGUAUUAAAAAGAACAUUCUAUGUAAGAGCUCACCGUUCCCUUUAUACAGGUUAAGCCUCCAUGCUCUUUCACCCAAAAAGAAAUCGAUUAUCUGACAAACCGCAUUCAGAAUGGUGGUACAGAAGUCGUUGAGGUAAAGCAUUUAUGUUUUGAUUUCUAGACUGAAAACUCCGAUAGCUGGAAACCUUAUGGUGAACUAAAAGUAAUCAAAUCUAUGGGACUUAUGUUAGUUCAGACAAAAUGUUGAGCAAAUCACAAUUUUGCACCUGUAGAGCACAUCUGGCUAAUAUACCUCAAAAGUACACUAUGAUCCAUGGGACUCAUGUUAGUUAAGUCAAGCUGACUAUGCUGCACGGUUCCCUUAGUUUUACCAACAUAUUCACUUGUUGUUCAUGUUAGAAUGCACCAUCAUUCCUUGGUUCUUGAAAACUUAUUUGAUAUGUUCUUGCAUAUUGUUACCGUCAUGGUGUUUACAUGCUGGACGGCUGGUGAGUAAUCAUAAUUUGUAACUUCUUGCAGGCAAAGGCUGGUGCUGGGUCUGCAACAUUAUCGAUGGUUAGUUACUUCUCUCUCUCUCUCUCCACCACUAAGUACUGAUUUUGUUUGUUCCUAUGUAAGACAUGGUUUUAGGCUAUAGGCUGGUUCUGAAUGCAUAUUGAAACACAUAAACAAAAGUGCAGGCAUAUGCUGCGGUUCAAUUUGCCGAUGCAUGUCUUCGGGGCUUAAGAGGAGAUGCUGACAUUGUUCGAUGUGCAUUUGUGGCUUCUCAUGUAUGUUAUCUGUGUCUUUACAGUAAAAGCUCUCCCUGUUGCGCCGUCCCCCUUCCUUAUUCUUUCUUUUAAGCUUAUAGUAACGACUAAUACACUUCCUUCUAGGUGACUGAAUUGCCCUUCUUCGCAUCCAAGGUAAGACUCGGUCGUUGCGGAGUUGAGGAAAUAUACCCUCUUGGCCCACUAAAUGAGUAUGAGAGGUAUGCGUUUCGAACUAACAUGCAAUAUAUAUAAUUUGUCCCUAUCUAAAUUUAACAUAAAUGAUAAUCAACAGGGUUGGCUUGGAGAAGGCGAAGAAAGAACUAGAAACUAGCAUUGAGAAGGGGGUUGCCUUUGUCAAGAAAUGAAUAGGUACUCCAAUACCCCCAAAUCUACCUUUUCUCUGAUAACCAAAGUUUGUAAGAAUAAGGGGUAACUCUCCUCUUUUGUUCUACAUAAACCCUUAGUCAUGGGGUUCCUAGAUGUGACCCAACAUGGCAAAUAUGGACCAUGGUAAAAGAUUCAUGUAAUAAAUAGAAGAAAUGGUUUGUAAACUUUUCAUUUAUUUCAUUUCUUAUUCUAAUAUAAUCAAACAGAAUAAGUUAAAUCGAGCAAAGCGUCCCUUACACUCGGAGCACGGAAUGUUAGUUGGUUGAGUCUCUCCUGAAAUACUCAAACCUAUUCCGUGUUACUCAAUUGAUAGUUAUGCUCUCAUCAAAUCAAGGGGUGCUUAAAUCCUUUGGUUCUAAAUGUAAACAGCCUGUCUGCUUGGAUUAUUCUUCAGCAGUAAACUCCAGCCAUUACUGCCCUUUCACCUUGGUGAAAAAUCUUGGUCCUUUACUGCUCUACAUAGCCAAGCCAAGAAGUAACUGGGGUGAGUCAACAUCCUAUAUGCUUUGGGCCUGAAAUUUCUAAAACAUAAAUGAACCAAUCAAAUGGGGGUAUUCUGUCCAAUUUUUGGCACAUUUUUUGGCCCAUAUGUAAACUAAGAGUUUACUUGCAUGUUUCAUUUUUUACUUUCUUUUAAUCCUUUUUUUAAUUAAAAAGCUGAGAAAGAUUCUAAAUUUACAAGCUUAACCAAACAUAAAUGAUUACCUCUUUUGCAAAACAAAUGUAAAAAGCCCCUUUUCUUCAGUUCUUUAUCUAAGAAAAGAAGACAAAAGAAAAAAGAGAAUAAGGGCUACGUGAGUGCCAGAAAUUGCUCUGCCUUUCCUAGUAGGAUGCCAUAUAAAAGCUCACAUGAUAGCUAUUUGCAUUUAGUGCUACUUUAUUUAUUUUUGAAGCUUUGAUUCUAAUGGUUUCUACGAAUAUAUUAUUAAUAUAAAUUUCUUUCCUCAAAUUUCAUAGUGAAUUCUUAAGAUUGUCAUGUCUCUAUUUAGUAUGAUUGUAAUUGUUUGAUACCAUUUUAACAAGAUAAUGCUUCUAAUUAUAUAGUAAGAACCAAAGAUUAAGUUGAAGUAAUUAAUAGGAAUCUAUAAAGAUGGCCCCAUGAAACAUUACAUUGUUCUUUUUAUUUUUUAAUUUGUUUCAUCAAGUUUAUUCCUUUUUCAAAUUCACUGCCAAAAGGUAUUCUUUUUUCUACCCCACAAGUUUUUCCAUGAAAAUAUCUGUUACAUUAUCUGUUAAUGUAUAUUUUUUUUAUGAAAUUUACCUUUUUCGAUCUUUUUACUGAAAAGUACGAGGGGAGCAGGUUUGAAAUACUAUAUAUAAAUUAAACUAGUGGAGUGGACUUAAGGUUUAAAAGUUACUUUAAUGGAAUAUCAUCCAUGUAAUAUAUGAACUAUAUUGAAGAUAAAGUAUUUCCCCCCUGCCCCCACAUCCUUUUUAGACACACUAAGUUAUUCUUUAUAUGAUAUUGUACACAAAUUAUCACAUUAUUUAAUUUUCCAUAAUCUUAUAUUAAUCUUAUUUCUAAUUCCUAAACACAUGCAUAUGCUUCUUAAUAUUGCACUAUAGGCCAAACUUUGUUUUCUAGAUAUGCUAGACAGGUUUGAGCUAAAGUCCACUUAAUGCAAUUUUCUUUCUUUCCUUUUUCAUUCUCCUUUUACAGUCUAUUUUGUUCACUAGAGUAGGGUUCCACUUUUCUCUUUGUUGAUUUUUCAAAAGUUAUGAACGUGAAAGGUCUUGUCAUGUCUAUCCUUUUGUUUUUCUUUUCUUUUAUGUGUGUGUGUGUGAUUUGCAGUGAAACAGUGUCUUAAUUAUUGGAUGGAAAGUGGGAGUGGUUAUUUUUAGGGGAGGCCAGCAAUCAAUCUAUCCAUGCAUAUGUGUGUUUCUUUAAUAAGUACAAGUAAAUUAGUGCAUUUUGAAUAAUUAUCAGUAAAACUAAUCACUAUAAUGCACUGUUGAGAAUUUACUACUUGAACAUAGAUAUCAAAGACCUUAUGAUUUCAAUCUUGUAGGUAAGUUAAAGUACUUGUACAUUACAAAUUCAUGGAGAGAAUAUUGUUAUAAAAAGGAGCAAUAUAUAAUUUGGUACUUGUGUUUUUUCUUUUUUAAUCUAUUAUUUGUAUUUGAUAAAUAUUUUGGUACUUAAAGAUAAUGGUGUAACUUAUUAGUGUUCAAUUUAGGUUUUAGGGUUGAUUUGAUGAAAGGUAAUUGGUAUUAUUAUUAGGUUUGAAUUUUUCAUGAUUUUGUUAAUAGAAUAAGUUUAGUAUUAAUUGUGAAUGUGCAUGUGAUUUAUCUCGAAUUUUAGGGUUGAUGUGAUAAAUGCUAAUUGCUAAUAUUAUUAGCUAAUUUUAAAUUUUCAUCAAAUCAGCUAUGAAACUCGAAUUAAACACAAAAUUAAUGUUGUUACUUUCAGGUAUCAAAAUGUAUAACUUUUGUCAAAUGUGGGUACCACAUUGGAUCAAAAAAUGAUGAGUACCACAUUAGACAAAAGAUAUCAAACUUCAGUACCAAUUCAUGUAUUAAUAUCAAUUAUGAUCUUUAUUUAACGAUUUCAAACUUUUAGAGAUCUCGUUCAAAUUUAAACUUGCUAAAUUUAAGCUCAAAUAAAAAUUUUAUUUAUGUUAUUUAAGAUAUAUUAAGAUAUAGGUGAGAAUAUGGAUAAGCACAAUAAAUUAGCUUAAGGAAUGGUAUAUUCAUUGUACCUAAAAAGUUGGGGAAGUAACCAAGAGAACCACAAAUGAUGAAAGAACAAAAUAAUAGCAAUAAAUGAAGGCAUGUGGGCAUUGGCCUAGAAUGGUACCCCAAAUUAAUUGAUGAAAAAAGAAUUAAAUGAAAUUUUAUAUCAUAAAUUCUUAAAUGAGGCUAAAGAUGUCAGAAAACCCUAACUUCAAUGUCACAAAAUUUAAAGCCAGAUGCUGAAAAAAAAAACAUGGGUUCCCACAAACAUCUAUGUUUGUUGUAUUAAUCAAGUCCUUUACCUACAUUGUGGACUUUAGCUUUUUCUUCCCCUAAUUUCAGCUUUUAUUGCAGUUUGUACCAAUUUUUUCAUUCCAAAACCAAUAUAGCUCUUUGCCUCUUAAUUCUCUAUAGCCCCUAACAUGGACUACAUACAUAUAUAUACAUAAACCCUAGUUGCUCUCAUUUUUAAUUUGUUUGUACCUCAAUUAUUUUUAUAAAAACAUAACAAGUAUUUACUGAUGAUGUAUGUUAAUAUGGUUGAAUUUGGUAUUGAGAGGGCUGAAAUAAGAUUAGGAAUUUUGAGGGAGAAAGUUCAAAGUUUUAUUUUAAAAUGUUUUAAAUCGAAUUAUUAAUAAUUGGGAGGAUCAAAACUGCUAUUAUUUCAUUUAAUCAAGGGGUUGAGGCUUUUAUCUGUCCCUAGCUAAGCUCUUGUUGAUAGUAUAUAAAUUUACUCAUUACCAAAGUAUCAAAUACAAACCCUUUUUUUUACGUUUAUUCACUAAAUUUUAAAAAGUUACGACUUUAAAAACAUAACCCUAAAUUUUUUUGUUCUCUAAGUAAAAAAAAUGAUGAGUAAAAAAAGAAAAAGAGAGAAAUAUAUAUCCUAAUAAUUGGAUAAGAUAGGGGCAAAUCAAAAUAAACAUUGGAUCCCCAUAAUUGAAGAAUGGCAUAUAUUAGUGGGAAAUUAUGGUGUCCCAAUUCAUUUUUAAUCUGAUGAGUGCUCACCAUUGCUAAAGAUAGUAUUGGAAGGCAAAAAAGAAAAGGAAGAUGGAGACAACACACAUGGAUUUUUUCACAGCUUUCAUCUUACAUCAUUUAGUCUUAAAAUAUCACAACAAAAUAAUUAUUUUUUCCAAUCCUUUUUUUUUUUUAUCAUCGUUUGAAUUUUAAUCUAUAAUCUAUAGUCUUAGAAGGAGGCAGUACUGGAUCCCAAUGUAAGAAAAUAAAGACAAGAUCGAAGUUGCUAAGAAAAAAACCAGUCCUUUUGCUGGGUUGGGUGCCCUCACCCCUGUCGGAUGCAUGCACAUGAAAAUUAUUUCGACUUAAUUUACGUUACGAGAAAGAAAAUGGGUUAGCAGAUAUCAAUCCUUACGAGCAAAAUUAAAGGAAUUGUAUUAAGGAGUCAAAGUGCAAUUUUACUUAUGUCUUUAUUAACUUUCAAGUAUUUGAGUUAUCGAAUAUUAUUUUUGAAAAGAAUAUAUAUGAAUUAAUUAAAUUAAAAUUUGAAUGAUAUUUUUUUUUGAAAUUUAUAUUUAUUUAAUGCAAUUGAUUGUUGAUAGUAUGCAAUUAAAAUCCCUAUUCACAAGAAUCCUGAAACACAUGCAUCCCAUAUUAUUCCACCUUAUCAUAUUUACCUCAUUUUUCUGCUCUCCAUUCCAUAUAUUUUGUCCUUUCUAUUUGUUUUUUUUUCUCUUUUUCAUUUAAUAUUUUCUCACUUCCUCAUCAAUCAUUGAGCAAUAAUAAUAAAAUCUAUUUUCUUUUGAAUUUUUCUUCUUUGUUAAGGUUUCUACUAUUCGACCGCAAUCAUUGAACAUUCCCUUCACAAGAAAAAAGAAAUAAAUUUUAUAAAAAAAAUAUUUAUGUAGUUAAUAAUCUCUUUAUAUAUAUAUAUACAUAUACAUUUCAAUUCUCUUGAAUAAAUAUGUGCGGGUCUAUUCAGAUUUGUUUUGGUUUAGGCGUGGAUAUAUAUUUCGAUUAUCAAUUUUUUUAUUUAUACAUUGCAGGCUCGUUCUUGAUAUUUUUGGAGCUCUAAGUAAAACAAUAAAAUGAAAGGUAUGUUAAUUGUGAAUGUAGAUAAAAGAAUGAAAAAUGGAAGGUGAAGAUAAUGUUGGUUUAAAGUGACAUGUUGAGUAGGUUGUAUUAGGUUUUGAACAUUGAUGUCCACUCAUUAAGUUGCCAAUUAUUUAGUGGUUAACCCUACAUUCAAUGUGCUAAAUUGCCUAAUUCAAACCCAAACCGACAGUAUAAGAUCCUUGAAUAGAUAUCUAAGGACCCCCCAAAAAAAUUACAACUUUGUACCUUUAACAUAUAAGAAGAUCUAUGGAAGGACCGAUUAGUGAUAUAAUUUAUUAUUUGAGGGCUUUUCUUUUUUGUCCUUCUUGUUGUAUUUUCCCUUCACCUGUCAAGAACCCUAAAUGAGAAGGGACCAUAUGCUCACAUUUAUGCAACAUCAGAAGGGGAAACCAGAGAAAUUUUGAAUCACAAAAGUGACAAAACAUGCAAAAGCACAUGUAUGAAAGGAAGUGGGAGAUGAAUUUCGAGUUUAUUUUUUGAUAUUUCGUGCAAUCACUUUUAAAAGAAAAUAUCUAAUAGGCCUAAAAUUCGAGUUUAAGCAUAUAUGAUAACUCUGUCUCCUUAUUUGCGUAGUAAAUGGUCAAAUUAUGAUUUUAGUUCUUUUAUUAUGCUCAAAUUUAGUUUAUCAUUAAUUAAUCUAAGUAGUUAAAUCAUGUUUAGCUGUUUCAAUUAAAAUGUUGAUUUGGAUAGAUUAUAUAGCAAAAUCCCACCAACUUUGCCACAAAUGGUGAAGGCUUUAUUAAAUGUUAGCUUUCCUCUUUGAAUGGGGCAUAUGAGGUAGUAUCAUGCCACUACUAUGAAAUUAAAAUUGAAGUCCUUCAACUUCAAGUCAUUGGGUGGGUCUCCAAUGUUACAAAAAUAGGGUCAUCCUGCCCUUUGGAUUUUGGACAAUAUUAUAGGUAUAUAGCUUAAUAUUAUUAUGUUGGAGUGGACAUUCAUUAAUAAUAACAAACAAAACAUAAAUAAUAAUAUGCAUAGUUUUCACAUUUUUUUUAUAUUUCAUAAAAAUUUUAAUGAUAGUUUCAAUUUUUCAUUUUUUUAUUAACUAAAUAUAUAUUUUAUUAUUAGUUUUAGUGCAGGUUUGGAUAAACGGUAUAGUGUGUUUAAUUUACUUUUUGUCUCAAACUAUAAUAUUUAAUUUCACCAUCACCGUUAUUUUUAUAUUAACUACAAGUAAAUGCACCGCGUAUCCAAACUCACCCUUAACUUUACUAUUCCGAUCACAACUUCCCUCAUAGAAAGGAAAGGAAAAGGAAAUUAAAAAAGAAAUAUGAAUGAUGAAAGCAAAAAAAAAAAAAAAAAUAAAGAAAGAAAGAAAGGUACUUCCUAAUUAAAAAACAAUAUAAUGUCAAAUUAUUUUCUUUAAAAAAUUGUCAAUCAGAAUGUCCGACAACAUAUUGACAUGCUUUGGAUUUAAAAUUUCAAACAAUAAUGCAUGGUCGAAAAUAGAAUAAAUUAUUUUACGUGAAAAAAAAUAUUUUUAAAAUUUUAAAAUACAUUACAUUGUUUUUUAAAUAUAAUUUUUGUGAAACUUUUUAAGUAAAUUUAUUGAUUGUGCAUUAUACCAAUUGAUUAUUUUAAUAUAGUUCAAAUAAAUGUUUAAUUCUGUUCAAAAUUUUUCUACUUCCGCACUUUUGAAAUUUAGUCCAUUUACUUUUUAAUCCUCGAGAAUUUAGUGUUUUUUCUCUUUUGAUUUAAUAAUUGAGAUCAAAUUGAAUAUCGAUAAUACAAUCAUUUGAAUUAGAUUAUUUGGUAUUUUCAAAAUGAAAAAAAUUACUCACGUGGUCGAUAUUACACGCAUGGAAAGUUAAUAAGCAAAUAAAAAGGUUAAAUCUAGGGUUAUAGGAUUUUUGUUUCAAAAUUUGAGGUUAUAAAAUUCUUUAGUAAUGUUUCUAAGAAGCAUAGUAAAAGUCGAUACUUUUGUUUUUUAUUUUAAAAAAAUACCACAAAACUUAUUAAUUGUGUUAUUAUUUGAACUUCAGCUAUUGAAUAACAAAUGAACUAUUUUUUUAAAGUUAAAAAUAGAGAGAUUCAAUUUUAUUAAAAAAAAACACGGGUUGCAAAAUUCAACCAUAAAUAAAUAUUGAAUUUAUAUUAGAGUAAAUUAAAUGUCACUAAACUAUUAGUAAGUUCUCUUAAUAAGUUGAAGUGUUAAAAAGAAUAACUAUUAGUAAGUUACGUUUUCGUCACUCAACUUCAAAAGUUACAAAAUGAUCACUAAAUUAUUCGAAAGUUUUCAUUUAAGUUACCGGACUGUUAAAUUCGUCGUUCUAUGGUUUUCUCUAUUAACAUCGUCUACACCAAUUGAAAUAUCUUUUUUUCUUCUUUUUUUUCUCUAGUUUAGUUUUUUUUAAUAAAAUAACUUUGAAUGUCAUAAAUUUACAAAUUAAAAUUCAAAUAUCUUUCUUCUUUGAUCUUCGACAUUAACCAUCAUACCAACUUAAAUCUAAAAUAUAUUGUUGACACUGUUUUUUAGGAUGAAAAAUGGGGUUGACUUGGGUUUUGAAAAAAAAGAAACGGGAGUCGCCACCAAUCCUCUUUUUUUUAUGAGGUGCGAUUGGAUUACCUCAAAGAGGGGUUGUUUUUAAUAAACGGUUUGAUUUUAUUAAAACAACAAGUUUGGUCCACGAAAUUUAGAAAAACGGGUUCGGGAGUCGGUUACGCACGAGGAAGGAUUAGCACCCUCGAUACGCCCAAAAUUGGUACCUAGUUGAUUACUUAAUGUCUUAAUGUCAAAAAUUGAGAACCUUGAAGAAUUUUAAAAAUACGACCCUUGUAUUAAAACGUUGAAAAUUUUCAGGAAAAAGGGGAUAUUUCACGUUAUUCGAGAAAGAGAAUCAUAUCUAGUAAGUUAGGAUACAAUGUCUCAAAUUCCCGAUACGCGGAUGAAAAAUGCUUAUUUAAAAGAUAUUUUAUUAUCUUGGUUUUAGAAAUAAAUCAGGCCCAGUAAGUUAGGGCACGAUCUUUUCUUAAUUCCCGAGAUCGUUUAAAAACUUGAGUUUGAAAAGAUUCGUGUAUUUAGAUUUAUUAUGAAAAUCGAAACCCAGUAAGUUAGAGUACGAUCCUUUCGAAUCUAAACACGAAAUAUUUUUAAAACAAAUUUUGUUAUAUCGAGUAAAAUAAAACACGAAAAUCGUAAUAAAAAAUGUGAAAGCAAAUUACAUUGUUGUUAUACGUGGUAAAAUCAUAAUACACAUAAAAAUAAAAAAUAAUACGAGCAAUAGCAACAAUAAAUAUCUUUUAAAUAAGCAUUUUUCAUCCGCGUAUCGGGAAUUUGAGACAUUGUGUCCUAACUUACCAGAUAUGAUUCUCUUUCUCGAAUAACGUAAAAUAUCCCAUUUUUCCUGAAAAUUUUCAACGUUUUAAUACAAGGGUCGUAUUUUUAAAAUUCUUCAAGGUUCUCAAUUUUUGACAUUAAGACAUUAAGUAAUCAACUAGGUACCAAUUUUGGGCGUAUCGAGGGUGCUAAUCCUUCCUCGUGCGUAACCGACUCCCGAACCCGUUUUUCUAAAUUUCAUGGACCAAACUUGUUGUUUUAAUAAAAUCAAACCGUUUAUUAAAAACAACCCCUCUUUGAGGUAAUCCAAUCGCACCUCAUAAAAAAAAGAGGAUUGGUGGCGACUCCCGUUUCUUUUUUUUCAAAACCCAAGUCAACCCCAUUUUUCAUCCUAAAAAACAGUGUCAACAGCUUGGCGACUCCACUGGGGACUACGAUAAGAGGGUCAAACCACGUGGUGAUUACUUUUUGUCUUUUGUCAAAAAUUGAAAAUUCGGUUUAAAAUUACGAUCCUUUCAUCGCAUUUUAUCUGUCUUUAUCAUAAUCAUCACCAUUGGGGUUUAUAUUUGCUCUGUUUGUUUAAAUUUUGGUAUCUUUCCGCAUUGCAUUGCAUGACCGUUGGUCACACCUUUAAGUGGGAGUGAGAAGCUACGCCUUCGUGAGGUUUUCACCUCCGCAUGGGAUAGUGAAUCGCUUUCGGGAUAUAUCCGUACCUAUGUCUUCGUGAGAUUUUCAUCUCCGCAUGGCCAUAGGGAAAUGUAUCCCCCUGAAUCGAACUUGGUCCGUAUGAGCCUAUAAUGGGUGAGGAUCGAGGAAUUUGCUGGUUCAGGUACCCUACUUUAGAACCAAACCACAUGUAAUGAGCCAUAGGAACUGACCUAGGUAGAGCUACUCCAAAUUUUUAGUGCUUACCUAAAUGAAUGUUGUUUUUAUUGUCGCUUAUUUUAAAUCUUAUUCUGUGUUUAAUGCUAAUUUACUUUGUGUGUGAUUGCAUGGCAUCUUCAUUCUAAAAGAGGUAUCGAUUUACGUUCAGUUUCUUGGUAGAAAGCUUAUAAUGGAAAAGGGGUUUGUUGAUAAAGUAGAGGAUAAUGUGGCUGUGCGAAUGUGGGCUGAAACGACACAACGGGAGAAAGGCGAUAGUCUUACCGAAGGGUACGUGUCAGAAUUGUGGGAUUUUACCCGUAUCAGUGUAAUCCAGAAUGACCUUCGAGAAAUGAAAGAAGUCUGGGAUCAAUGGGAUGUCGAGGCCAAGCAGCUGUUCUAUUGUAACUACGGUGACCUACCUUAUCUGCUUAGUGUCAAAGUGGACAAGUAUUUAUUCCGAGCCCUUGCUCAGUUUUGGAAUCCUGCCUACAGUUGUUUCACUUUUGGGAAGGUAGAUUUGACGCCUACUGUGGAGGAGUAUACGACCUUGCUUCGGUGCCCAAAGAUUCAAGUCGACAAGGCUUAUUCCAGAGCUGCUUGUGUCCCUCCGUUGUUAAAGAAAUUAAUGAACAUCACUGGAAUGAGCGAGCAGUGGGUCGCAGCCCGGAUCCAACAGAAGGGCGACAGUAAAUGUGUUCCUUGGAAAAGUUUGUGAGAUUUGGUACUGGUACAUCCUGACUUAAAGAAAAGGGUCGAUGUCUUCGCUUUAGGUAUCUAUGGACUAGUGGUUUUCCCCAAAGCUUUAGGACACAUAGACGAGGCUGUAUCUGAUUUGUUUGAUCGGCUUAGUAAAGGGGUUACACCGGUUCCGGCAAUACUCGCUGAAACUUUUAGAUCCUUGAAUGCGUGUCGAAAAGCAGGGGAGGGAAGGUUUAUUGGAUGCGCGCAGCUCUUAUUAGCAUGGUUCCAUAGCCACUUCUGGAAAGUCGAAAAGGUCUCUUAUCGGGUAUUCUCUGAUAACUACUCCCCUCUAGGAGAAUUGGUGGCCACGCCAAGACGGGAUGAUCUUUCAGAAGAAAAAUGGAUAGAGAUACUCCAGAAUCUCCACGAUGAAAAUAUUGAAUGGAGGGCUCCUUGGUUAAUUCCUGAUGAGAUAUUGUACCGAUGUGGAGAUUUUGACUGGGUUCCGCUGCUCGGGAUAUGGGGAACUAUCGGAUAUGCUCCUCUACUCGUAUCAAGACAGUAUAGAUCACGACAAUUCAUACCAGCAACGCAGGGGUUGGCCUAUUGUGAUUUUUCCUAUAGGGAGGACAACUACAAGAAGAAGGUUCGAAAAAUAUCUAGUGCCUGGAACCAGACUCGUCGAAUGAAGAUCUUAGCCGUAGGUCCGACAAUUACCCCCGAGUAUAGUCAGUGGCGUGAUCAAAGGAUCAACGACAACAUCCCGGCGUCAAAUUCAGAAACUGCUCGAUCUUUAGAGGAACACUUACAAGUUUUGCCUUCUGAGAUAGAAAUCAUCAAACAAGAAUUUGAAAAAAGGAGUUUAGAAUUGGGGAAGAAGAUAGAACAACUAGAGGAAGAAAAAAUGCAGUUAGGACUGGAUGUGGACAUUCAAAGAUUAGAGGCCGAUAAAUUGAGAAAAGGAAAGAACAAUGCAGAAGAAGAUUUGGACAGCCUGAAGACAGAUUACAAGAAGUUGCGUAGGUCGGUAAGAGCUGCUGGCUUGGGUAAAACGCCAGAACAAUGGCGACAAGAAAUUCAGGAGGAAAAGACGAAAGCUAAUCAAUGGGAAAAGAAAUUUCAGGAUACUCGGGCUCGGGAAGUCGCCUUGCGAAAGAGUCUACUAGUUUGCCAAGACGAGAAGACGGAGUUGAAGGUUCGGAUAACUGAACUAGAAAGAUCGCUUCACCAGUACUGUAAUCGUAAUGUUACGGUUGAAUUAAGGGCGAGCUUAGACAAGAUUGAAGAAUUAAAAGGACAAAUAGGAGGGCUAGAGAAUGCAUUGCAAAAUAGUGAAAUCCAGAUAGAGCUUCUGGAAGAAAAUAAUGAGCAGUGGCAAAGACAAUUCUGUCGGUCUCAAGAGCAGAUUAGAGAAAGAGAUUAUAUUAUGGGAGAGGCGGUGAAUCAAGUACGCGAAGUAGCUGAUCAUCUGCAAACUCUAGCGGUUCAGGCUGAUCUAUUAAGUUUGAAGUAUGAGUCAGAGUCAGACAGGGGCCGAGAAUUAGCUUGGCUUCUUAGAAAGGUUAAGGCUUUGAGUGUAAGGGCAAAGCCAUAUAUGUAGUCUAUUUUAUGUAAAGAAACUCUUUAUCUAGUAAAGUUUUCUAAUGAAGUUGAAUUAGAAUCAGUGCCUCUUUUUCUUUGCAUUCUUUUCAUGCAUUGCAUCACAUCAUAUGCAUUAAUGACCAUUAAAAACCUAAUCGAAUAAAAUCAUUUCAGUUAACCUGGAAAACCAACAAAGUUACGGCACCCGAGCUAAGACAAAAAUUAUGGACCAAAGGUUGGAGAAGCUAGAGCGACUUCAAAAAGAAAUGCAAGACCAGUUGCAGGCACAAAUGAAAGAGCAAAUAGAAAAGAUUCAGCGUGACAUGGUGCGAAAGAUGGAGGAGUCCCAAAACGAUCUGGUGGCUAAGAUGACGCAAUUAUUGAAGGGAAUAGAUAGGGGUAAAAGUCCUGUGAUUGUUAGUGAAGAAGAAAACAAUGGGGAACCACUUUAUCCUCCAGGUUUCACGCCUCCGCAUGCGCAAGUACAGACUGAGCUGCAUCCGCGGAGACCCUCUGUGUCGGUUAGGCCUCAGCAGUUCCAAGGCGAUGCUUCAAUCCCAAUGAAUUUUCAACCCGGAGCGGGCUUUAAUCCCGGUGAUAGCCCGAAUAAUAUUGCUGUCCCAGAUCUUGACGAGAUGGUUGAAAAGGACAAGGCGAAGGAGGAAUUUCCAAAACAAUUUGAGGAGAAAUGGAAAUGGAUAGAAGAGAAGUUUAGGGCAAUAGAAAGCAUCGAAAGCUAUGGAAUAGAUGCAAAAGAUCUGAGCUUGGUUCCGAACUUGGUGCUCCCUUACAAAUUUAAGAUGCCGGAAUUUGAGAAAUACAACAGGACUAGUUGUCCAGGAUCCCAUAUUACUAUGUUUUGUAGAAGAAUGACGGGGCAUAUUAAUAAUGAUCAAUUAUUAAUACAUUGUUUUCAGGAAAGUCUUACGGGAGCGGCGUCAAAGUGGUACAAUCAGCUGAGCCGAGCUAAAAUUGCUACUUGGAGGGAUUUAGCACAGGCUUUCCUGAGACAAUACAAUCAUGUCUCAGAAAUGAUGCCUGAUAGGAUAACUCUGCAAAAUUUAGAGAAGAAAUCGAACGAAAGCUUUAGACAAUAUGCGCAGAGGUGGCGAGAGGUGGCGGUUCAGGUGCAACCACCGCUUUUGGAAAAAGAGAUGACGACGCUUUUUAUUAAUACUUUGAAAGCCCUGUUCAUCACUCACAUGUUGGGAAGCGCUUCAAAAAAUUUCUCGGAUAUAAUCAUGAAUGGUGAAAUGAUUGAGCAUGCCAUUAAAAGUGGAAAAAUAGAUGGAGGAGAAAAUAAUAGGAGGGCACCCCCGAGGAAAAGAGAAAAUGAAGUGAAUAAUGUGAAUGCUUAUGGUAGGUCAAUUACCGUGAAUCAACCAAAGAAAGUGGUUGCUAAUCAACAAGGAUCAUCAAGACAAGAGUCGGGAGCUAGGCAAACUACUGAAAAGCCCCAAUUCACGCCAAUCCCGAUGUCAUACAAGGAGUUGUAUCAGACUUUAUUCGAUGCACAUGUUGUUGCUCCCCGUUACUUGAAUCCUCUACAACCCCCGUAUCCAAAAUGGUAUGAUAUGAACGCGCAAUGUGAUUAUCAUGCGGGAAUUUCUGGGCACUCGAUAGAAAAUUAUACUGCCUUCAAGAAGGUAGUAGAAGGACUUAUCAAUUUAGGUGUCGUCAAACUUGACGACUCACCUAACGCAAAGAAUCCGUUACCUAAUCACGCAGAUAAGGGGAUGAAUAUGGUUAGCGAAGGUACGGGAGAAGAAGUCAAGACUGACAUUGCUGAAGUAAAAACUCCAUUGAAACGGGUCUGGAAAGAAAUGGCGAAAAGAGGGUUGGUUAUUUCAGAUUCUGAGGAAGGGCAUGAGAUGGGAAAUUAUUGUGAAUUUCACCAUAAAACAGGGCAUGAAAUCCAAGAAUGUGAAGGAUUCAAGGCUUUGGUUCAAAGCAUGAUGGAUAACAAGGAGAUGAGGUUUUAUGAAGAUGCGAGAGAAAUGAGAAGCAUAUGCGCGACAGAGUUGGGAACAAAGGCUCCAAAAAUAAAUCAUCCUGUGGUCAUUAUCUCACGCCCUAGGGGUAAUGAGGUUAGGGCUCAGGUAACACCGAAAAUUGUAAUCCAGAAACCAUCAAAUUUCUCUUAUAGGGAUAAUAAAAUGGUGCCGUGGAAUUACGGGUGUAAUGUGACCAUUUUGGGAAAAGGAGCAGAAAGAAAUCAGGAAAUAGGUUCUUACACGCGCAAUGGAAAAAGAUAUGACGCUCAAGCAGAGUCGUCCAGGGAAGAGAAUUGGAAGAAAGAACAGAGAAAAGGGAAAGCAGUAGAAGUUGAGCCAUUGGUAAAUGAACCAAUAAAAGAAGAAGAGGCAAAGGAGUUUUUGAAGUUUUUGAAACACAGUGAAUACAGUGUUGUGGAGCAACUGCACAAAUAGCCAGCCCGCAUUUCUGUAUUAGCUUUACUCCUAAACUCAGAAGUACAUCGGAAUGCACUUUUAAAGGUGCUAAACAAAACAUAUGUGGCUGACGAUAUUUCGGUAAACAAGCUGGAUCGGUUGAUCAACAAUAUUGGUGCUGACAAUUUUAUCUUCUUCAAUGAUGAUGAAAUACCAUCCGGAGGAAGAGGUUCUACUAAAGCCCUGCAUGUUACUGUCCGAUGCAAAGGGUACACACUCCCGGGGGCCUUGGUUGAUAAUGGAUCUGCACUAAAUGUAUUGCCUUUGUCCACUCUUAGUCGAUUACCAAUAGACAGUUCGCACAUGAAAGCAUGCCAGAGCAUAGUAAGGGCAUUUGAUGGAACAAAAAAAGAGGUUAUGGGGAGAAUUGAGGUACCAUUAAGGAUUGGCCCAGUCACUUAUGAGGUGGAUUUCUUGGUAAUGGAUAUUAAACCCUCCUACAACUGUCUAUUGGGGAGACCGUGGAUACACUCAGCAGGGGCAGUACCUUCAUCAUUACAUCAGAAGGUGAAGUUGGUAUCGGAGGAUCGGUUGGUAACAAUAGAUGCAGAGGAGGAUAUUAUCGCAAUGAUGACUAGCGAUGCACCUUAUGUGGACAUCAACGAUGAGGCACUAGAAUGUUCUUUUCGGUCGUUAGAAUUUGUGAACGCGAUGUUUAUUGCGGAGGGAAAUAGAAUUCCAGUACCGAAAAUAUCCAGGACCAAUGAGAUGGGAUUGCAAUUGAUGGUAGGAAGAAGAGCCUUACCCGGGAAAGGAUUGGGAAAAUAUCUUCAGGGAAGGAUUGAGGCACCAAUGCCGAAGGAAAAGUUUGAUAGAUUUGGUUUAGGAUACAAGCCAGACAUGAAGCAGAAGAAGAAAGAAGUAGAGAAGAGACAAGAGAGAAGAAGGGCGCGUUUGAAUGGACAUGGAGCUAAGUGUGAGCCUUUAACCUUUCCCCACAUAUCUACAUCUUUUGUGUCGGGAGGAUUUAUUCAUUCUGAAUGUGGAGUGUCCGGUAGCGGCAUGGGAGGAAUGUUGGAAAACGUUUAUACUAACGCCGUAGAAGCAACAGAAAGGAGGGCUUUGUUGGAGAUCUGCCCUUAUGAGCCUGGAAGCGAGCUAAACAAUUGGACUGCUGAAGAAAUCCCUGUAGUCUUUAGGGCUUAUUCAGAGUAAUGCUCAAAACAUUCCUGUUGUUUGUUGGCCUAGAAACGAUAUGAAAUCUUUUCUGAAAUAGGCAUUGGGCCUAAAUAUCAUUAUUUUAAUAAAAUACGUGUCUACGUUCAUCUCGAUCAGUCAUUUUUUUCCUUUCAUAUUUUUCAUUUGGUUGAUUGUCUUACAAAUAAUUCUUUCAUUUGUAAUUCUUUUGCACAACAUAUUCAUAAAUUUAUAUUCUUGGUAUAUUCUUUGAUCUGCCCACAUAGGUCUUCAGAUAUCAAUGACAUGAGUGACGCUGCCUCAAACGCGGAGCCUAUUUUUGAGCAAGAAGUGUGUUCAGAGGGAUCCCACGACUUUGAAAAUGACGAAGAUUAUGAUGCAUCUCCGGACUUGUUAAGAAUGAUGGAACAAGAGGAUAAGCAUAUCCUACCUCAUAGGGAAUCGUUAGAAAUAGUGAGCCUAGAGGAUGGAAAGGAGGUGAAAAUUGGAACUGAAAUCACCGCAAAGACAAGGCAAGACCUCAUCAAUUUACUCCGAGAGUUCAAGGAUGUUUUCGCGUGGUCGUACCAAGAUAUGCCUGGGCUAAGUACUAACAUUGUGGUGCAUCGUCUGCCCAUAAAUGAGGAUUGUAAACCCGUUCAACAGAAGCUUAGGAGAAUGAGACCUGACAUUGUGUUGAAAAUAAGAGAAGAAGUCAAAAGACAAUUCGACGCUGGUUUCUUACAAGAGGUCAAGUAUUCGGAUUGGGUAGCCAACAUCGUCCCUGUUCCCAAAAAAGAUGGAAAGGUACGAAUGUGUGUGGAUUAUAGGGAUUUAAACAAGGCUAGUCCAAAGGACAACUUUCCACUGCCUCAUAUUGAUACUUUGGUAGAUAACACGGCGGGCUAUUCAUUGUUUUCUUUCAUGGACGGUUUUUCUGGAUACAAUCAAAUAAAGAUGCAUCCUGGAGACAUGAGGAAAACCACAUUCAUUACCUUAUGGGGAACAUUCUGUUACAAGGUAAUGCCCUUCGGAUUGAAGAAUGCGGGAGCAACAUAUCAAAGAGCUAUGGUGACUUUGUUUCACGACAUGAUGCACAAAGAGAUCGAAGUCUAUGUUGACGAUAUGAUCGCGAAGUCUAGAACGGAAGAAGAGCAUGUUCAGGUCUUGAAAAAGUUAUUUUUGAGAUUAAAGAAAUUUCAGCUCAAGCUUAACCCGGCCAAAUGCACGUUUGGAGCCAGAUCAGGGAAGUUAUUAGGCUUCAUAGUUAGCAAAAAGGGGAUCGAGGUUGACCCAGACAAAGUAAAGGCAAUACGAGAUUUACCUCCCCCGCGCACUCAGAAGGAGGUUCGAGGUUUCCUAGGGAGGCUGAAUUACAUUGCUCGGUUCGUCUCACAACUGACAGAGAAAUGUGAUCCAGUAUUCCGGCUCUUAAAGAAACAUAAUCCGGGUGAAUGGGAUGAAGAGUGUCAGAGGGCUUUCGAUAAGAUAAAGCAGUACUUGGCUAAUACCCCAGUCUUAUCACCUCCAAGUCCAGAUAGGCCAUUGAUAUUGUAUCUAACAGUGUUGGAGAAUUCCAUGGGAUGCGUAUUGGGCCAACAUGAUGAGACAGGAAAGAAAGAAAGGGCAAUAUACUACCUCAGUAAAAAAUUUACCGAUUGCGAAAUGAGGUACUCAUCAAUUGAGAAAUUGUGUUGCGCUCUAAUCUGGGCAACCCGAAGACUGAGGCAGUAUAUGUUGUAUCACACGACUUGGCUGAUUUCAAAGUUAGAUCCUUUAAAGUAUAUGAUGGAAUCGACUGCUUUGAACGGGAGAAUGGCUAGAUGGCAGAUCUUGCUUUCAGAAUUUGAUAUAGUAUAUGUCAGUCAGAAGGCCAUAAAGGGAAGUGCAAUAGCCGAUUUCCUAGCUAGUAGAGCCUUGGAGGACUAUGAAUCUUUGAAUUUCGAUUUUCCAAACGAGGACUUGAUGUAUGUGGCGAAUACUGAAGAAAAUCCUCAAAUGGAUCACGUAUGGAAGUUAAAUUUUGAUGGAGCUUCAAAUGCUACGGGUAAUGGAGUUGGGGCAGUUUUGGUAUCCCCAAGUGGAGAUCAUUAUCCUGUUGCUAGCAAGUUGGACUUCGAUUGUACAAAUAACAUGGCAGAAUAUGAAGCAUGUAUUAUGGGCAUUCGUGCAGCCAUUGAACGGAACAUCAAAGUACUGAGAGUAUACGGGGAUUCAGCGUUGGUGAUAUACCAACUCAAAGGGGAGUGGGAGACUAGGGAUCCUAAGCUAAUCGGUUAUAGAAAAUUAGUUCUUGAAUUGGCUGAGGAGUUUGACGAUAUCACUUUCUAUUACCUCCCACGGGAGGAAAACCAAAUGGCCGAUGCUUUAGCUACUCUAGCUUCGAUGAUUCAGGUGAAUAGACUUGAGGCAAUGAGGCCUGUUCAGAUGAGUAUCUCUGAGACCCCGGCUAAUUGCUGCAAUAUUGAGGAGGAGGGAAAAGAUGAUUGUCCUUGGUAUCAGAGUAUCCUACAAUAUGUGAAGAAUCGGGAAUACCCUGAUCAAGCGACAGAGAAUGACAAAAGAACUCUGAGAAAGAUAGCCAUUGAAUAUGUCUUAGAUGGAGAAGUGUUAUAUAAAAGAAGGAAGGAUCAAGUACUGUUAAGGUGUGUGGAUGCUGUGGAAGCCAAGAAAAUUUUGGAAGAAGUCCAUGAGGGUAUUUGUGGGACGCACGCCAGUGGUUUCACGAUGGCCAGACAGAUCAUGAGAUUUGGGUACUAUUGGCCCACCAUGGAAGGAGAUUGUAUUGAUUAUGCCAGGAAGUGCCACAAAUGCCAAAUUUACGGAGACAAAAUACACGUGCCCCCUUCACCUCUUCACGUCAUGACCUCUCCUUGGCCGUUUUCCAUGUGGGGUAUGGAUGUUAUUGGGCCAAUAUCACCAAAGGCUUCUAAUGGGCAUCGCUUCAUCUUCGUAGUAAUUGAUUACUUUACUAAGUGGGUGGAGGCUGCUUCAUAUGCAAAUGUCACGAAAGCAGUAGUCAGCAAAUUCUUGAAGAAGGAGAUCAUUUGUCGAUAUGGAAUGCCUGAGAGGAUCAUAUCCGACAAUGCGAUGAACUUGAAUAAUAGCACAAUAGCUGAAGUUUGUAGCAAAUUUAAAAUUAAGCAUCAUAACUCAUCGCCGUAUCGUCCCAAAAUGAAUGGUGCAGUGGAGGCGACCAAUAAGAACAUUAAAAGGAUUGUGGGGAAAAUGACUGAAACCUACAAGGAUUGGCAUGAGAAAUUAUCAUUUGCUCUCCUUGCCUAUCGAACAUCUGUUAGAACUUCUACUGGGGCAACGCCUUUUUCUCUGGUUUAUGGAAUGGAGGCAAUAUUACCCAUUGAAGUUGAAAUCCCUUCUCUACGGGUGUUAUCUGAGCUACAGUUGGAUGAAGCCGAUUGGAUCCAAUCUCGGUACGAUCAGUUGAACCUAAUAGAAGAAAAGAGGCUAAAAGCUAUUCACCAUGGGCAAAUGUACCAGAAACGAAUGAUGCGAGCCUAUAAUAAAAAGGUUCGCCCCUGAGAAUUUCGUGAAGGGGACUUGGUACUAAAAAAGAUUCUUCCUAUGCAAAAAGAUUUUAGAGGAAAAUGGAUGCCAAAUUGGGAAGGCCCUUAUGUUGUAAAGAAGGCCUUUUCUGGUGGAGCUUUGAUCCUAUGCGAGAUGGAUGGCAAAAGUUUACCAAAUCCUGUAAACGCAGACUCCGUCAAGAAAUACUUCACUUGAAAGAAAGGGGAACCAAAGUGAAAACCCGUGAAGGGCGCUUUGCUUCCUAAAAAAAAAAACUUUGGAGAGGCUAAGGUGAAAACCCGUAAAGGGCACUUUGAGACCAAAGAGGGCUUGAAUCGAAAACCCGGAAAAGGCGACUCAAGUACUGGGCAGGAUUGGAACAUCAGGAUUUGAGCGGAUCAAAUUUUGAUCGGGGGCAUAUGAUUAUCUUGCUUUACUUGAACCAAUAAGAAAGGAUAUGCAACGUCUUGGAUCAUGGACAGAGUAUUGCAGAUCUCCUGAACACAUGUCAAACUCAGAAGGGUCUUCGAAAAGUUUGUACAGAGAAACUCAAGCUGCGAUAACUAGGGCACCUAGUUCUUAUGUGUAUUCUUGAAAAUACAUUCUUUUAUUUUCUUUCUUUCUUCCUUUCUUUUUGUGAAAACGCACAUUCUCAAUCCACUUCUUUGUUAACCUUCUUUCGCCAUCUUUGAUGUUUUAUUCGAGUUAUGAUCGGAACUAGCUUUAUUCUUAUCCAGUGUUGUGAUCUUUUUGCAAAUAUGUUGCAUAGGAAUAAUGAUUAACAAACUAAUAAAACUUUCAGGAAAGAAGUUUUGCACAUUACUCUGGAAAAUUUCUAAAUAAUAUAGGGACCUGAAACAUGACUAUUGUUUAGAAAAUACCAAGUUUAAAGGGUGAAAUAUCUAAGAAGGAAGAGUCUAAGUUAAAGACUAUCCUUUCAGAUUUUGUUGUCUAAACAUUGAUUGAACAAAAUGACAAGCUGUCGUGUUACAAAGCUUAAAUGAACAAGCAAGCAAUGAUCAUCAGGCAAUAGGAAGAGGUUACCUCGGAGAAGAGAGCCUUCACUUGCGCAUAAGACUUUGGUACGACACCUUGAGAAUGGUGUAGGAAACCAGAACGGUUCAGAUCCUAUAUCCCCGAAUUGUGAUAAAAGAGGACAGAGGAAAAGCCACAUAUUUCUACCCUUAGAUUACUGUGAGAGAAUGAUGGUACAAAUUUUGGCGUCCCAGUGGAUAUAACUUUGAGGUUUACAAUGGGGACAGUCUGGCUAAAUGUUUCUUCAGAAAAGUCAGUCAAGCGAGAAGGCGUUGAAGCACGUCAGUCACAAAGCCUUAGUAAACUUCGAGUAAUGACAACCUAAGCGAGAUCAUUCUCGGAAAAAUAAAAUUCUGCAUUCAUGCAAACACCAUUCACAUAUGUCUAGUUAGGAGCAUUUGUUUCAUUUUGAUCAUGUCAUCCUAAUCAUUAGGCAUAAUUAGGUUUAUUAUACAGGUCUUAUCUCCCUGAGAUUACAGUGGAGUAGACCGAAAAAUUUCAGAUCUUAUCUCCCUGAGGUUACAGUGGAGCAGAUUGAAGCCAGAGAUCUUAUCUCUCUGAAAUUACAGCGGAGUAGAUUGAAGCUAGUAAUCCUAUCUCUCUGAAGUUACAGUGGAGCGGAUUAAAAUAAAGGAUCUUAUCUCUCUGAAGUUACAGUAGAGUAGAUCACAUCAGAUUGAAGCCAGAGAUCUUAUCUCCCUGAGAUUACAGUGGAACAGACCGAAAAAUUUCAGAUCUUAUCUCCCUGAGGUUACAGUGGAGCAGAUUGAAGCCAGAGAUCUUAUCUCUCUGAAAUUACAGCGGAGUAGAUUGAAGCUAGUAAUCCUAUCUCUCUGAAGUUACAGUGGAGCGUAUUAAAAUAAAGGAUCUUAUCUCUCUGAAGUUACAGUAGAGUAGAUCACAUCAGAUUGAAGCCAGAGAUCUUUUCUUAAUUCCCGAGAUCGUUUAAAAACUUGAGUUUGAAAAGAUUCGUGUAUUUAGAUUUAUUAUGAAAAUCGAAACCCAGUAAGUUAGAGUACGAUCCUUUCGAAUCUAAACACGAAAUAUUUUUAAAACAAAUUUUGUUAUAUCGAGUAAAAUAAAACACGAAAAUCGUAGUAAAAAAUGUGAAAGCAAAUUACAUUGUUGUUAUACGUGGUAAAAUCAUAAUACACAUAAAAAUAAAAAAUAAUACGAGCAAUAGCAACAAUAUAAAAUAAAUAGAAGUCAUACCUACAAUCAUAUAAAAUAACAAUAUAUAUAAACAAAUAAAUUAAAACAUUCAUAAUGACGAAAAUGAAAUAAAUAAGUAACAAAUACCAUUAAAUAUAAAAAGAUAUAUAUAGACAUAAACUAAAAUAUGUAUAUAUAUAAAUUAACAAAAUGUAUAAAGUAUGUUUUAAUAUAUAAAAGAAACGAUAAAUGUGUAUAUAUAAAAAUAUGUACAUAUAUAUGGGUGUAUAAAACUAUGGAAUAUGAAAAUAAUAAAAUACAUAUAAAAGUAAGUACAUAUAUAUGUUAAAAAAUAAAAGAAAGUAUGUAUGUACAAAUUAAAGUUUAAAAAUAAUGAAAAUAUACGUAUGUAUACGAAUAAACACGUUAAUUUUGAUACAUGUUAAAAAAAUAUAUUGAAAAUGUAUAUAUAUAUAUUUAUGUAAAUUAAGAUAUACAAAAAUAUGUAUGUACGUGCAUAUAAAAUAUAUAUACUUAUAAAAUAAAAGGAUGUGUAUGUAUAUAAAUUAAUAGUAAUAUGUGUGUAUAUACGGAUUUAUAAAAAAAGUAUAUUUUAAACUAUAAAGAUUAUAUAUAAAUAUGUAUAUAUUUAGGAAAAUGAAAAUAUAUAUAUAUAGAUAUAUAGAUAUGUACAUAAGUUGUAAAAUAUAUAAACUAUAUAAGUAUAUAUGUUAUAAAAACAAUGUAUGUAUAUCACAAAAAUAUAUGCAUGUAUAUGUAUAUAUGUGCCGAAAAUUAAAUAAAAUAAAUAUAAACAAAUAGGUAAUAAUAAUAAUAAUAAUAAUAAUAAUAAUAGGACUAAAUCAAAACGGAAACGAAAUCUCAGGGCUGAAAUCAAAAAUGAAAUAGAGUAAAGGAUUAAAAUGUGAGGCGCGCGAAAAGGGAAGGACUGAAAAGGGAAAUAUUCCCUAGUCCUAGAGUGCAACGUUUCAGCGCAAAGGACCAUACAUGGUCAAAGGACCUGAUUGAAACAGAAACAAAACUCGCGGCCCAAAUCAAAAAAAAAUAAAAGGUUUGAUUGCAUUUCAACGCAAGAUGGAGGGACUAAAUGCAUAAAUUACCCAUUAAGGACAAGCAUGUGCAAGAUUCCCCACUAAUGCACCGUUCAUGAUUGAAAAAAAAGACAAAAAAUGUUUUAUAUUUUUAUUCUUUCACUUUUUGAAUUUGCUAGAGGAAAAAGGCUUUGCUUUUUUUUUAAACCACCAUUUUUUUUUAAACACCCAACACUUGGGUUUCUUAACACCUUGAGUGCCACCACGCCACCAAGACCGACGGCCGACGAUGGAAGAAAAACCCCGGCGGCACGGUCACGGCCAACUCCGGUGAGUUUCUCCUCUCCUUAUUUCUUUUGUUUUUAUUUUCGUAAGUAGAAAGAAAUAAAAAGAAAUCAAACUAGAUGUAAAAACACACAAAAAUAAAGAAACGAAAAUUACUUCUCCGAUUCAAAGUUUAUGUUUUUAUUGUUCUUGUGUCCGUAAAAAGAGAGGAAGAGCCCCCUUUGCCGGCCAUCGACCACCGCACCGGUCGCCGGACGCCGGCGACGACGCCGCCGUUCGCGGUGGCCGGAAAACCAAAAAAAGCUCCCUUUUUCUCCUUUUUGCGAAUAGGGUCCAGAUCUGGGGUUAGAAAAGCCGAAAUCCCGGCGAAAAGGGCCAAAAUCGAAAGAGACCUUUCGGUUCUUCCUCUUUCCACCGCCGCCGGAAACAGGUAAACUCCUUUUUACUUUUAUUUUUUUUAUCUUAUAUAUAUGUGUGUUGAUAAUAAAAAAGAGAAAGAAAUACUAUAGAAAAACCGAAAUAGAACGAAAAUAAAGAAAACGAAAAAAACAAGGUGAAUCACCUUCUAAAGCCUUUUUUUUAUUUCUUUCAAUUUUUUCAAAAGCCGAAUCUUCUCUUUUUUGUUACAAAAGUCCCGUUCUCUUUUUUUUUGUUUCUCUUCUUUUUUUUUCCCUUUGGUCCGAUUUUGCUUGUGGCUUUUAUAGCCAAAAAUACAAUAUUCUGUUAAUGUUUAUUGCUCCAUUUUUUGUCAUUUUCCUUUGCUUGUUUGCAGGUGCGGCAAAAGGCAUGGUGGUGGCAGACAGCAUGGGAGAGUGGGAGUGGUGCUGGUGGCAGACAACAUGGGAGAAUGGGAAGAGGCAAGUGGGAGUCUAGGGUUUUGGGAUUGGGCUUGGAUGUUGGGCUAGGUUGAUUUUAGGUUUUGGGUUUUAUUAUUUAGGUUAUUUUGUUGGUAUGGGCCCGGGCAAAAAUGGACUUUUACAUAUAUUAUUCUACUCAUUUACGGCUACUAAUCCAUCAUUUCCAUUGUUGAAUUUGGAAAAUGCCAUUGCGAAAAUUUGGGUUAAGAAUGCUUAAUUGAAAGAAGAUAAAACCCAUCAAAUUAAUUAAUCCCAUCAAUCAAAAUCUUUUGAGAUUCCAAAAACGAAAAAUGCCAUUCCAAUCCAAUCUUCUCCAUGUUUAUUACCUAGAUUUGACCUUCCCUGAGACUAAUAUAUACAUACAAUACAAUCAACAACUAUAUAAUAAUUUUAUUAAAAAAACCUAUGUAAUUAAUUAAUUAAUCACAAGUUUUCGCAAUGUUAGAUCCGAAUAGUAAGAUUUUGAAUGUUUAAAUUCGAAUUUUAUUAUAUGUAUGUACGAAUUUUUAAUUUAAAUUUUAUUAUGAACUAAAUUUCAUCAUGUGUGAAAUAUAUAUAUGGAUAAUUUAAUUAUUAUUAAACUGUUAAUUGAAUCUUAACUCGAGAGAUUUCAUUAUAAUUAUAGCAAUAAAAGAAUAAAAGAAUUAUGAGUUCAAACUUAUUUAAAUGUAUAUUUUCCUCCUAUUUAAAAAUUAAGGUUACCAAGUAUAAUAAUUUUUUCAAAUAUCCAUUUUAAGAAAAUCAAUAGCAAACAAUAGUUAGAAAGUCCAAUUAUUGUGAGAUAACAUCAAUUUUCUUCAUUAAUUGGAGUCAUUUAAAACAAAAGGGUUAAUUGCCCCAAACAUCUUUCAAUUAUGACACUUAUUCUAAAUUGACUCUUAGAUUUCAAAUCAUUCUAAUUAUAUUCUUAAACUGUUGAUGUUAGAUCGAUUAGGUUCUUUUGUUAUGAAAAUCAUUAAUUUAACUGUUAAAUGAUACCUUAAAACUUAAGAAAAAAAAUAUUGUGAAAAUGGAUGCUUUGAAAAUCUUAGUUUAGAGGUUUUCAAAACUUUCACAGAAGCUUUACCAUUCACUAUUUCUUUUCCCCACUUUUACUUUUAAAUUUUAUGCAACAAGGUUCUAGUUUUCUUUGAAUUAUUCAUUUUAACUUUAGCUAUAUAAGAUUUGAAGUGUUAUUUAACAAUUAGAUUAAUGCUUUUAAUAACGAAAGGACUUAAUUAAUAUAAUAUUGAUAGUUUAAGGAUGUAAUUAAAAUAUUUUAAAAUUUAAAGAUCAAUUAAAGUGAAAGUCAUAGUUUAAAGAUGCCUGGUGCAAUUAACUCAGAACAAAAAGAUGAAUGUUAUGAAGGUAAUGGGUUGAGUUGGUUUAGGGUCAAGUUAAUUCGGCUUAGGUUAAAUUGGAUUUUAAUUUGGAUUGUCUCAAAUUUAAGUCACUCAAGAUUUUCAGUCAACUUUUUUCGGGUUUUUUUAUUUGUUUUGGUCAUUUCGGUUUUAAGUAAUUUCUAGUUCUAAUUAUAUGUUGUUUUGAAUUGAAAAUUUCGAAUUAUUAAUUUCUUAUGAUAAAAUCAAAUUAGUUUUGGAAAUGAAUUAAUUAAGUUUAGAUUUCAAAUCCGAAUCAAAAUUAACUAAAUUAGCUUCACUCUUUUAAUUUUAGGUAUGUGGCAAUUCGAUUAAUGAUCCGAUUAAUUAGAGUCUACGAGAUAUUGGUUAAGGAUUUAACAUAAGAUUUAUAUUUGAUGUCUCCAUAAUGUAUAAUUUUAUGUAUUAUCAAUGAAUUAGAUGAUGGCGCAUUAUCAAAAAAUUAAAUUAAAUUCACUUAAUUUUAUUUUUAAUUUCUUUCUUACCAUUAAUUUUAUUAAUAUAACAUUUUAUAUUAUUUUAAAUAAUAUCAACUUAACAAUUUUGACGAUACGUGAAAAUUAAUUAUAUACUUAAUUAUCUUGUUCAGUAUUUUUUUUUCAAAAAAUUUAUAUAAAAUAAAAAUAUAAUGUCAUUAUCCAAUAUAUUUAAAAAAUCAUUUGUGCAGCAAACAACAAAAACGACAAUACAGCAAAAUAGGUUACAAUACAAACUAAAAAUAAAGAUAAAACAAAGCAUUUGCAUGCGAUUUAGAAGUUGCAUGACAUGUGCCAUGUGUGAUGUGUGAAUACCCAACUACAAAAAAAUAGACAGUUUUGUGGUACUAUUUACAGAACAAAAUUAUUUUUAAUGUAAAUUCUUAUUUGACUGCAUUUAAAAAAAAUCAAAAUUUGUCGAUUGAGUCUUUAGCUCGAUUGACAUAGGCAUUGUAGCUAAUAUAGUAGGACGUGGAUUCGAGUAUACUGAAGCGCAUUAUCCUCCUAUUUACGGGUUGAGGAGGAACUAUAGAUAGUUCUAGGCAUUGUGUUAAAAAAUAGCCAGAUAUUAUCAGAACCUCUAAAGAGAUUGUUCAAGAAAAAAAUCAAAAUUUUUUUUUAGACAGAAAUGCUAACUAAAAUAUUAAUAUUUUAAUGAUGUUAGCGUAGCAGUCCACGUGUAUUUUAUGCUGGUAAGACACUAUUUACCUUAUAUUUAUGUCAACAAAUAAUUUAAAAAUCAUAAAAAAAAUAUUAUGAAGUAUAUGUGGAACACAUGUUGCCAUGUUUAAAUAUUUAAAGUUCUUAUCAGCAUUUCCGUUAAAAAUAAUAAUUUGAUUCUUUUUGAAAAGUUCACUGUCAAAAUAAAAUAUGGGUUAAAUUGAUAAAAAAUAUAAACGUUGAAGACCAAAUUUUACAUUAUACCUAACAUAACCCUUUAAAUAAAAGCCAUUAAUAUUUCACUUUAGUUUUCGAUAAACCCCAAAAAUUCCAAUUGGGUCUCAUCUCAAUAUUUUCACACUGCUGCUUCCAAAAAUUCCUUAAAACCAUUGGCACAUUUCCCUGGAUAUUUGACAGGGGAGCUUGAAUUUUUUUAUAUAGAGCUUUUAACAUUUAAAACAGCUGUUUCAUAAACUGAUAAAACAGAAGGGAAAAAAAAAAGCAGCAGCAGAGCAUUUGCAGACCGCAGUACAGCAUGAUGAAAGAAAAAUAGCUUUUUUUAUAAAACAAAAUACCUGCCCACCAAUCCUACUGUACAAAACAAAACAAAAAAGCAUCAAACAUUUAAACACCUUAAAGUUAGAGCAAAAGAACAGAAAGUAGUAAUAAAACUACAACCCAACCUUAAAUGCUAAGAAGAUCAGGUGGUGUUGAUUUAGGUGCUGGGGGCUGUUGUUGCUCGUCUUUUGGGUCCUUUGUGAUUGUUGUUGUAGGUGAGUCUAGAGUUGUGUCUGGUGAUGGUGAUGUUGGGGGCUCAUUGAUUGUGGUGUCUCCCUGUUUCGAGUUUGGUGGUUUUGGGAGUUCGGUUAGGAUUUGAACCACUUCCCUCAUCGUCGGUCGCUCUACAGCUUGUUCUUCGACACAAAGCAUGGCGACGUAGAAUACGUGCAUCACUUCCUGGAGAGGAACUGAUGGGAGUCUGGGAUCAAGGACUUUGAGGACACUUUCUUUGCUUGAGUCUGUCAUUUUUCGAACCCAUUGAACGAUAUCGACUCCGUCACCGAACUCCCCUACUGGUUUUCUGCCACAGACUAGUUCUAACAGGACUACACCAAAGCUAUACACGUCACUCUUCUCGUCUACCUUCAGUGUGUAGGCGUAUUCUGCAAAAAAAAGUACAGAGGAAUUACAUGAAAUUCUAAGGGAAAUUACUACUGGACAGUUGGAACCACCAAAAUCCGGUUGGUCAAACUAUAACUAAAUUGAUGUACUUCGAAAGCUGCAUAUAUUGAUUGAAAUGAUGAAAAUAUGAACUUCAAUAGCACCAAAUCAUGGUAAAACAAAGUCAAAACCGAAGUCCAGAGGAAAUUAUUGGUAGGUAUUAAUGCUUCAUGCAUGAUCCAAUCGCAAAUGUUUAAGUCAAAUGAAACAUCAAGUUCUUUGAACCCUUUUGUUAAAAAGAAGGUAUAUACCUGGAGCUAUGUAACCGUAUGAACCAGCUACGGCGGACAUGCAUUCGGAAGUGCCAGAAUCUUGCAAGAAUUUAGCAAGGCCAAAAUCAGCAACAUGAGCUUCAAACUCCGAGUCGAGGAGGAUAUUGUUCGAUUUCACAUCCCGGUGGACUAUCAAAGGGGAACAAUCAUGAUGAAGGUAGCAUAGUCCCUUAGCCGCCUCGACCGCGAUCUUGUAUCUGGUAUCCCAGUGCAAAUGACCCCCUUUCUUCCCAUGAAGAACCUCUCCUAAACUCCCAUUAGGCAUAUAUUCAUAAACCAAGAGAUUGGUUUCAUGAUUUGAGCAAAAACCCAACAGUCUCACAAUAUGCCUGUGCCUAAUCCUCCCCAGAGUUUGUAUCUCAGCAUUGAAUCCAUGAUCAUGGGAAGACCCUCGGCUCAUUGCCGGUAACCUUUUAACGGCGACCUGGUCACCACUAGGCAUGGAUCCCUUGUACACAAUCCCAGCACCUCCUUUGCCUAUAAUGUUAUCCUCCUUCAAACAAUCCAAAACAUCAUCACAAGUGAAAUCCAAGCGCUGGAACGCGGUUAACUUCCAAGCCCGAGCAUCGCUCGCUUUCUUCAAGGACCGUGCUUUGAUUAUAGCUGCGACUGCGAACAAGAUGGAGAAGACAAGCAGGCCUAUUACAAGCAAAAGCUUCAAAGAUGCAGAGAGUCCACCUUUAACAUGAGUUUCAUGAGUUCCUUUAGCAACCCCAUCUUUGCAAGGCCCCAAAUAAGGACCACACAGCUCCGGGUUCCCCAAAAAUGAGGUGUAGUUGAAGUAACUAAACUGACCACUGCCAGGAACCAAACCGGAGAGAUUGUUAUACGAGAAAUCGACGGAAGUUAAGCUUUGCAUAGUGGAUAUUGAAGAAGGGAUACUACCCAGGAGAUGAUUUCUCGACAGAUUCAGGUAGUUUAAUAUCCUCAUACUUGUGAUCUCAGUCGGAAUUUGACCGGAAAGCUCGUUUCGACUAAGAUCAACAAAGGUUAACAGCUUGCAUUUGCAAAUUUCUGGUGGGAUCAAUCCUGAAAACUUGUUAUGACUGAAAUCAAUCUUUGAAAGUUGCUGCAACUUCCCAAUCUCAGCUGGGAUUGGACCCCAAAACUUGUUGCCAUCGAGAAGAAGCUUUUGAACACCGGAAAAGUUACCGACGCUAGCCGGUAAAGCCCCAGAAAGUAGGUUGUUGGAUAAGCUGAUUUGGCCGAGAUUCACGGAAAUGGAAGAAUCAGUGACCGGGAACUCCCCUGUUAGAUAGUUAUCCUGUAACUCAACUUGUGUAAGCUGUGGUAAUCCCAAAAGGCCUUUAGGGAUGGACCCGUUGAGAUAAUUUUCACCCAUACGAAUCCGACUGAGUGACUCACAUUUCCCCAGCGAUUCUGGGAUUGGACCAAGCAAGAAGUUACCCAAAGUAAUCAACGUUUGCAACGUGUUGCCGGAGCACAUGUCCGGCGGCAAAGUCCCCGUUAACUUGUUCGACGAAAGAUCUAGAACUUGAAGCUUUUUGUUACUGCCCAACUUCUGAGGAAUGCUUCCGGUGAAGUUAUUUUCCCAGAGCUGUAAGACCUCCAACUCGGGCAACUCACCAAUGAAGUCAGGAAUCCGUCCGUGGAGCUUGUUUCUGAAAAGAUUGAGAAGAGUCAAGUUUUUGAGCUGAGCGAAACUCGCGGGAAUCUCACCGGUAAACAUGUUGUUCGAUAAAUCCAUGGAUUUCAAGCUGUUUAAGGUUCCCAGCUCGGGAGUUAAGGAGCCAGACAGUGCAUUCACCUGGAGGAACAAAGUGUCGAGCCUCUGCAACUUACCGAUCUCCGGCGGUAUUUCACCGGAUAACAUGCAGUUAGCGGCGUCAAAACGAACAAGUUCCGACAAGUUCCCGACCUCCGGCGGCAAACCACCUUCGAAACUAUUGAAGUAGCCAAUGUACAACUGCUUCAGCUUCGUUAGGUUGCCGAUUUCGGGUGGGAUUUUACCGCUGAGUUCGUUACCCGAAACGGCUAAAUAUUCAAGAUGCUCCCAACGGCCGUAACUUGACGGGAUCUGACCGCUGAAAUAGUUCCCUCCCAAAUGCAAGUGACGCAAAUUGGGAAGCUCCGUGACGGAAACCGGCAACUCCCCCGUCAUGUUAUUGUUGUAUAAAUCGAGUACCUGUAGAUUUUUCAGCUGGGAAAGCUGGGUAGGAAAGGAACCAUUGAAAACAUUGUUGGAAAGGUUUAGGUAACGGAGAUUGGAUAGGACGGCGAGCUCCGUCGGGAUAGGACCGUAAAGAUCGUUGGCGGCGACGGAGAGGUUUUGGAGGAAACGGAGGUGGGCAAGCGAGGGGGAAAGAGUUCCGGACAGAGUGAAGUUAGUUAAAUCGAUGGAUGUCACGUGACGACCGGUUAAAUCGCACGUGACUCCGGCGAAUGAACAAAGGGGAGUGGUUGCAUUCCAGUUGGAGAGGUAAGAUUGAGGGUCGUCGGUAAUGGAGGAUUUAACAGCGAUAAGUGCGCGAAGCUCCGUAACGGCUCUUGCGGCGGCGCCGGCGGCAUAGCAGUGGGAAAUGUGAAGAAGGAGGAAGAGGAGGAGGAGGAGUAACCUCAUUUUCCCUGUGAUGGAAAUUGGGAGGGAAGGGAAAGUGUAAACGGAAAUGGAAAAGAAAGUGAAUAAAAAGAGUGAAGCAAGUAAGCAGAGAUGUCAUUUUAUUAUGUGUUUUUUUUUUAAUAUUAUCUUUAUUUAUAAUUAUAAUUUAAUGGUAUAUCUGUAUUUUUUAACAAUCAUUGGACAAAUUCCAUUAUUCCAAAAAGAUUUAAUUUAUAAAAUGUUAACAAAUUUAAAAAUUUUAAAAAUAAUUAAAUUAAAUUACUAGAUAUAAAAGUAAAAGGACUGAAUUCUAAAUAUACGAAGAAUACAUGGAGUUGAAGCGUAUUUUAACCCUUAUAAUUAGACCCUUUUUUUGUUCUAUUUAGAAGAAGGGUGAAGAUGGGAAAUGUUAAAAGGUAAAGCAUGAUUGAAGGAGAAUUUUGGUUUGAAGGUACUAAAUCUAAGCAAAGCUAAAAUUUCCAAACUUGUUGAAAUUAUUCCAAUUAUUUGACCCAAAAUAGAAUCAAAAAAAUUAUUAAUAGCACUCUUUUUACUAUUUUAGUCAGCCAGCCAGCUAUCAAAGUUCAAAUCAUUAAACACAAGAAAAAAAGGAGAGCAAAUAUUAGAACAAUGAGGCUUAAGCCAAAGUUGGUAAAAGGAAAUUAGGUACAAGUUUGAAUAUACAAUUUAUUUAAUAAAAUAAAUAAAUUGGUGACCAAAACUUGAGAAAUUAAAGGUAGAGGUGGUGGGAUUUUAUAAGGGUUUAUAAAUCAACUUAAAUUUGAAAAAGUUUAUUUGGUCACCCAUUUAUUAUUUUUAUUAUUAUUGAUGUGAUUGAGUAGUUUAUAUGGUUAUAAAUAGUGUUUCACAUUCUAUUUUGGUUGGAAAGAUUGAAUCGAUUGAAUUUUGAUUUAAUCGUUGUGAAGAUGCAGUAAUAAUUACUAAAAUGUUAUAAGUAAUAAUUAAUAAAUGAUUCGAUUUUUUUAUGUGUCAGAACAAUUGAUUCUUAGUUCAAUUGGUUCAAUAUCAAAAAAUUGUUGAUGUUUUAUAAAGACUUAAUUGUACUAACCAUCCCUAAAUCAUUAUUCUUAUUCUAAAUUUAUCCUUAAACUUUAAAACAUUCUGCUAUUAAAAUCGUUAAUUUAACCGUUAAAUGAGAUGUUAAAUCUUAUGUGAAACAUGAAUAUUGAAAAAGUUUUCAAAGUUUUUACAGAAAUUAUCAUUCACUCUAUUUUUUCAAUUUUACUUUAUUUUUAGUUUUUAAUCAAAAGUUAUACGAUAACAUUUUACCUUUCUUUAAAACUUUCAUUUUAAAAUAUGUCACAUAAGUUUUCACAUGUCAUUUAAAGUUAAAUUAAUAGUUUCAAUAAUGGAAGGACCUAAUAACAUUGAUAGUUCAGGAUAUAAUUAGAACAUUUUGAAGUUUGGGGACUAAUUUAGAACGAAUGUCAUAGUUUGGGAAUGUUUAGUACAAUUAAUCAUGAGAUGAGGUGUGGUGAUUGCUUACCUAAUUCCUUAACUAUGAAGUCGGGAGUUCGAUCUUUGUCUAUGAGAAUAGAACGCAUUUCAUAACCAAUCAUUUACCUCUUCAAAAAACACCAUGACGAGGGGAUCAAUCACUGCUACCAACUAUAGAGUACCCUGAUUUCAAAAAAUUUUAUGAAAAAUAGAAUUAUGAUGGUAGCAGCAUUGAUGGUAAGGAAGAUUUUGGCAAUUAUGGGAAGACUGAUUUUAGUAUUUUCUUUGGAAAAGGCAGAAAUAUAUGUAGAGCAGUUGUGGAGGUUGACCCUUUUACAAUUAUUAGGGCAUUUAUUGUUCUAUUCAUUCCAUAAACCAAAGUAAACUUUCUUUUAUUCUCACAUGCCAUCACAUAUUAAAUAUUAUCUCAUUCUUUUAUUUUUUUAAACAUAAAAAUAUCUAAUUAUUAACUUCUAAUUUCAAGAUUAAUACAAAAAUGCAUAAAAUUAGUGUUAUUAAAAUUAAAUCAAUUGGUUGAAUGAAACUCAAUUGGAAAAUUAACAAAAUCCCAUUGAAAUAAAUAGAAAUACAAAAAAUCAAAAUCGAUUAUAAUGUUUUGAGUUUGUUUUAUUUAUCGUACAAAAUCUUUAAAUUUUAACCACGACUCUAAACAAUUCUUGACUUUCUUUUAAUUUAAUGAUACAUUGAAAUUGAAUUCAUUUUAUGUUAAUUUUUUUCGGAUUUUUUCUAAUUUUUAAUAAUAUUUCCAUUUUUUUAAUUUAGCAUAUUUAAAAACAACAAUAAAAAUUUAGAGUUGUGAGCAUAACAAAAAUCAUACUAUCUAAAAAUCAAAUUUUGGUAAAAAAAAACUUUUGAUUUAAAAAAUAUAUAUUUUAUGUGUGAGAGGCUCAAUGCAACUUGAUCUAUGGUCAAAGUUCUGCAUCAAUGGUAAUAGAAAAUCAGAUUAAAUUAUCAAAUAAAGCUGUUUUUUUAAAUUACAGAAAUAUGUCGAAUUUUUGAAAAAUUAUUGGAAUGGGUCGUUUUUGAUAAAAACACUUCUAGUUGGAGUCGUUUUUAAGGAAAACUCAAACAAACACUUCUAGCCGGAAAAUAUUAAUAAAAAAUAGAAUUUAGAUAGAAGUAGAAUUUUAGUAAAAAAUUAAGAGAGAAUUCGAGAAAUUUAAGAAAGAAAUGUGAGAAAUUGGCAAGUGUGGGGUUUAUAGCUUUUUUUUUACCCUGGGGGGAGGGGGCAACGAUUAUUUUAAAUAGUCGUUGGAAGUGACCGUCGGGGGGAAACGCGUUGAGCUAGACGCGUUUUUCAUUAACGCUUCCAGCUGGAAGCGUUCUACUGGUUAGAGGGGAAAAGUGCUUUUAGCUAGAAGUGUUUUAUAAAAAACGACUCAUUCCCGUAAUUUUUAAAAAAUCGACCUAUUUCCGUAAUUUUAAAAAAUAAUUUUAUUUAAUAAUUUAGUCUAAAAAUCAUAUGGAUUAAUGAUAUAACUAAUGGAAGGAAACGAUAACAUUAUUUACUUAUAUUAUAUUUGGACCGUAUCUAUAUGAACCUUAUAUAGAAAUAUAAUAAUGAUUAUAACACAUCAUAAAUCAUCAUUUAUUUUAUGGGUUAAUUCCAAAAAACAUCCUUAAACUAUUGUCAAAACUUUAAAAUGUUCUAAUUGAGUCUUCAAAGUAUCAUUUGAUAUCAAUUAGAUCUUUUCAUCGGUCUUCCUAUUGAUUUAAGGGUUAAAUGCUAGUUCAAACAUAGAAUUGUUCAUGAGUUGAGCAGCCUUCUUGGCUCGAUUGGCUUAAUCCACGAUUAGGUUAGGCUUGAGUUUAGUUUCUUUAACCUAACUUCAAAAAUUUUUAAUAUAUAAAAAACUGAAAAUUAUAUUUUAAUUUUUUAAAUUGUGAAAUGGAUCAUUUGGAGGGGUCGAGCUUCGGUCUAGAAAUUAUUCGAACAUGACAUGAUGUAUUUUUAAAAACGCAUAAAUCAAAGUGUAAAUAUAUUACUUACUAAUUAACUUGUUAAAAAAAAGAAAAUGGCAUUAAAAUUUAAGAAAGUUAUUUCCUUUAUUUUUUUUCUUUAACACGUGAGAUUCAAACAAAUUCUGUAGUAGAUACACACAGUGGUAGAGCUUAGUAGAGACCCAAGGGGCCAUACCCCCAUAAAAUGGUAAAUUUUUAAUUUAGGUCUUUUAUAAUUUAUAAAAUUUUAAAUUAGUAAUGAUAAAAUUACACUUUGACACCCCAAAAUGAUAAAAGUUUGAUUUAGCAUUUUAAAAAUUAUAAAGAUAUACGCUAUUAAAAUGAUGAAAUUACAUUUUUACUAUCGUAAAAAUAUACAAUUUAAUUCCGCCCCCCCAAAAAAAAUUUCUAACUCCGCCAUUAAAUACACACGUGUUUACAAUUUGAUACAUGUAUUUUAAAUAUGUUCAACAUCAAAUUUAAGCUGUUAUCUAACACUCAAAUGAAUAGUGAGGAUCUAUUUAAAAUUUGAAUCAUAGUUCGAGGAUAUCUACAGGAAUUAACCCUUCACUUUAGCCCACCAAUAUCAAAUUUUUCCACCAAAUUGCUUGAAUUUGUUUUUGGCAAUUCAUAAAAGCAGGGAAAAUGAGAGGAGCUGGCAGAGGGAAAUAUGAUUAGGAUAGUUAUUGAACAUUAAUAAUUUUGGUGGAGAUUGUGGUGGUAACUAAAUAAAAAGUUUGGUCAAUUUUUGUUGUCUCUCAAGACACUAUAAUUGAUGUUUCUGGACAUACUAAACUUUGAGGGAGAUGUCAAAUUCGUUAUUGUUUUCCAUAAUUUAAUACCUCUUAUUUUAUCAUUCGUCUCAUUUCAUUAUGAAUGUAUUAUAUUAAAAAUCGUUAUCAUUUUUAUAGAUAUUAAAUAUAUCAAUUCUCGUCUUACCUCAUCUAAUUUUAAUUUGAUUUUUAUCAAAUACUUUUAAUAAUUAAUUAUAUGUAAAUAUAAAAUGAUAAUUUUAAUAACAGAUAAAAUAAACCCUCCAUCCCCAUCCCUCAUUUCACUUCGCUCCCCCCCCCAAAAUCUGCUCCAUUAAAAAGAUUGAUUCGAAAUUCAUUGGGUGGUUCGAGUUUUGUUAUUUUUCCAUGUAUAAUGCAAUUACAAAUGAUAUACGUUCUAGUAAUUAUAAUUAGAAUGAAACAAAUACAAAACAUGAUCAUACUGAAAUCUAGAAUAUAUCCCCACAAUGCCUACACAUAGUGGACUUAAAUUCAAAAUAAUUUUAAGAGAGAAGUUAUAAGUAAUUAUGCAUGGUGGGGCUUAAAUAUGGGUACGCAAAAACCUAAAUUAUCCUUGUUAUAGUUUUUUCUAAAUACUAAUAAAAUUUUGAGUAGAAUCACUUUAACUUUUGCGAUGAUAUUAAUUAUCUUUUGGCUUAAUACAGGGAGCUCUUCUGCAUUUUUUAAAUUCAUAAUGAAAAUUUUAAUUAUUAACCUUAACAUUUUAAUUAUUAACAAUAAUAAUUUUAUACACGGUCGCUCACAUUGUAAUUGAUCGUGUACAUUAUGCUUUUUUAUUUUUUAAAACUUUUUUUUGAAUAUUUUUAUAAUUUUUAAGUUAUAUGUUGAUAUAUCAUAUAAAACAAAUAGUGUAAUGUCAACAUGAAAUAUACAUCAAUUGUCAUGCAAGUUGCCAUGUGCCAUGAUACAACCUUGUAGGGCCAUUACAGCGUAGGAUGCCAAGCCACCCAUGUAGAGGAACUUGAGAAAGGGUAGAUCUUUUGUAUUUAGGAAAGUGUCUUCAUUUCAAACAUCUUUAUGUUUCCUGGUAGGCAUUUCUAUAAAAACAUUUUAGCAUCUUUGUUGGGGGUAGACAGUCAACAGUUGUUGGACUGAGCUACAAGUUAAGGUAUCACCAUCGAGGGCUACUCCUACGACCCACUAAUGGUGUGGGUAAGUGAGUCCUUUUAUAACCCCUUGUAAUGUUUUUAAUAUAAUAAACCCAUUUUUCCCUCCAGGGAAAUGUGAGGUAAUGUGAGGGCAUUUGUUAUGCCCCACGGAAUAGAAUUAUGGCUUGAGACUAACUUGUGGCAUGCUUGUCUUUAUAAACUAUUGAGAUUAUUGGCUGACUUGAGUAGAAGCGUCCAUCCAAGUGCCUCGUAGGCUUGCAACCGUAUGAACAAAGUUGAGUCUAUGAUAUGUGGUAUCCAAGCUAGCAAAAUCACAUCGUUGAGAACUAAAAAAUGCUGUAGGCAAUGUGUUAAAAGAUCCCCAUACAAGUGGCUCGAAUGACCACCACAGAAUUGAGGAAUUUGAGGCCAUGGUGGCCACCUUAAAAGCCCAUAUGGUCAUGAGUAAUCGAGCAUGAGAGAUUGAGAUAGCCUAGCGGAAGCAAUCUGAUACGGUGAACACCUUUAGUAAGGAAGCGAUUGAUGUUUUGAAUGCAAUAAAGUAGCGAUUUGAGGAAUCAAUAAAAAAUCUUGGCAAUAAUACAAGAGAUACUAUUGGGGCCGUCAAACAGGAGUUCAAUGAACUCAAGGCCCAGGUGAAUGUAAUUCAGAUGAUUGUGAGCUUAGUAGGUUGUUGCUCCACUGAUAGAGGAAAAAAAGGCCAAUGGUCUAGAAUCGCAUUGGUUUGAGGGAGCGCGGGCUGCCAAAGAGCUUGAGAACUUCCUGUUUGAUAUGGAAUAAUACUUCAAGGUGACGUGCACUAACUUGAAGGAAUACAAGGUAGUAAUGGUUACGAUGCAUCUAACGAUAGAUGCCAAGUUGUAGUGGUGUUCUAAAUUUAUCGAUGGUAAGUGCUCAUCAAAACAUGGAAUAGUUUGAGACAAGAACUGAAGAGUCAAUUCUUCCCUAAAAAUAUGGAAUACAUGGCUAGGUAGCAGCUUAAAGAGCUGGCUCAAAUGAGGAAUGUGUGAGACUAUGUGAAAAGUUUUUCCAUCUUGAUGCUAGAUAUCAAGAAAAUGUUAGAGAUGGACAAGAUUUUUACUUUCUUGAGGGGUUCAAUCCUUGGGCUAGAACAUAAAUACAAAGGCAGAAGGUGCAAGAUGGGGCUGCCACAAUGGCUAUAAUUGAGCGUCUUAAUGAUUAUAGGGACGACUCUUCGAAACGCAAGACGCCCUAUUCUAGUGGUAGUAGUUCGAGUUAGGGCAAUAUGGGGAAGGUGGCAAAAACUCAUUGCCCUUCAAAUAGAGGCAAAGAUAUAAGACCACCCUAUAAAUAUUCCACUAAAUUGAGAUCCAACAAUGCCCCUAAUGCCAAACUAAGACAACUUAUUGCUUGUUUCUUGUGUCAAUGACUUUAUCGAGUGGUUGAAUAUCCGUAUAGGGGUGAUUUGAAUGCCUUAGUGGCUUCCUCCCAAGAUAGAACUCAAGAAAAUCAAUCCAAUGAUGACAAUGAGCUUAAGUUGACCAGGAUGGGCUCGAUACAAUUCUUCAAUACCUUACAUUCAUAAUUGAAGAAGUUAAAGAAGGAACUAGGGAGGGGCCUCAUGUUUGUGGAUGUGAUAUUGAAUGGUAAAGCAACAAAAGCCAUGGUGGACACAGGUGUAGCCGAUAGUUUUAUUACGUUUGAUAAGGCAAAAAGAUGUAGGUUGAAGGUCACUAAGGACUUUGAGCAAAUGAAAGUGGUUUUUACUCUAUUUCUUUAAUGAUUUAUAGAAGCUCUGAGAAUCUGAUAAUGAAAUUAGAGUCAUGGGAAUAAGGCGUGAACUUUACAGUUUCCCUUAUGGGAUGAUUUUAAUGUUGUCUUAGGAUUGGAUUACAUGGUUACUACACAGGUGAUCUCGAUUCCCACUACAAGAUGCUUGAUGUUCUUGGAGAAACGCACAUAUGUAGGGUCUGCUACAAUUCUUCUAAUAAGUGGGAAGAUCUUGUCAGCUAUACAGUUUAAGAAAUGGGUAAGAAUAGAUGAACUUUCAUUUUCUUGACAAUCUCUAAAGCGGGAAUUGAAGUGACUUCCUUUCCAAGUGUAGUGGAAAAGGUAUUGAAAGAUUUCAAAAACAUGAUACCAGAUCAGUUCUCGAAAGUAUUACCACCAAGGAGAACUAUGAACGGUAAGAUUUAGUUAAUUUUAAGGGUGAAGCCACCAGCAAGAUGCUCAUAUGGGAUAACUCCACAAGAAUUAGCUAAGUUGAUGAAGCAAUUGGAUGAGCUGCUUUAAGCAGGUUUCAUUCGCCCUUGGAAGGCAUCCUAUGAAGCCCUUGUUCUAUUCCAAAAGAAGUAUGAUGGGAGUUUGAGAUUAUAUUGACUACUGAGCCUUAUACAAAGUGACUGUGAAGAACAAGUACUUAAUCCCUUUGAUUGUCGACUUAUUUGAUUAGUUGAGCCAUGCCAAGUAUUUCACAAAACUUGAUCUUAGAUCGGGCUACCAUCAAGUCAGAAUUACGGAGGAAGAUAAGCCAAAGACAGCAUGUGUAACAUGGUAUAGAGCUUUCAAAUUUCUUAUUAUGCCAUUUGGACUAUCCAAUGCUCCUGCUACAUUUUGUACAUUAAUGAACCAAGUAAUUCAUGAUUACUUGGACAAGUUCGUGGUCAUUUAUCUCGAUGAUAUAAUAGUCUAUAGUCUUUCGUUGGAGGAACAUUUGAGGCAUUUGUGAUUGGUAUUUGUAUUAGAAAAAAUCUGGUUCAAAAAUGGUAUUCUCUACUAUUCUCGUACCAUGAACUACUUUGAAUGUCGGCUCAUACAAUUACGAAUCAAACACAGAACCAUAAAUAAUUUUUGUACUUUCAGUAGAAAAGUAAAUUUCUCUCUUAUAGAAACUGGUAGAAUUGUUAUUCUUAAAAAAUAUAAUUUAUACUUAGAAAUAAAUUCACUAUUUUCACUGGUUCCAACUAUUUAUAGGGAGAGGAAGUGAAACCUUAGUUAAAUUAGUAGAAUGCAUUUAAUGCCUAUUUAAUAGAAGAAGAAAAAAACCAAUCCCCUAGUUGAACUAGGAGAGAGGGGCGACUAAUUAGGUUUGUCUCCUCUUAUAUGUAUUAUGAUGGGGAUUCAAGUCUCUUCUGUAUUGGGUUCAAUUAUAUGUGUUUCCUAAACUUUUAACUCAACACUUUAUAACUUAAUUCAACUCAUGUAGUCACGAAGUCAUUCCACUAUAAUAUCAUGAUUGAUAGACUUCCUCACAACAAAGUCAAUAAAGACGUCGACAGAUUAAGUGGAGAGGGUGUCAUGAUCCAACCUUGUAAGUUCAUGACAAGGUAGAAUGCUAAAGGUCCACCUAUGUAUAGAGGCCAUGGCAAAGGGUAGAUUUUUUGUAUUUAGGAAAAUGUCUUUAUUGCAAACAUCUUUACGUUUCCUGGUAGUGUUCCUAUAAAACAUUUUAGCACCUUUGUAGGGGAUGGACAGUCAACAAUUGUUGGGUUAAGCCAUUAGUUAAGGUAUGUGCUUGGUCACCAUUGAGGGUUUGCCCCUACGACCCAUCGAUGGUGUGGGUAAGUGGACCCUUUUAUAACUCGUUGUAAUGUUUUUAAUAUAAUAAACCCAUUUUUUCCUUUUGGAAAAUGUGAGGUAAUGUGAGGGCAUCCGCUAUGCCCCAUAGGGCUGAAUUGUGGCUUGAGGCUAACUUGUGGCAUGCUUGUCUUAACAAACUAUCGAGAUUGUUGGUUAACUUUAGUGGAAGCAUCCAUCCAAGUGCCUCGUCGGCUUGCAACCGAGGGAACAAAGUUGAGUAUGUGACAUCAUGCCAACAUCGUUAUUAGAUUAAUAUUCUAGUCAAUAUUUCCACUAAAGAGCAACAAUUUGACUUUUUUUAUAUGUUAAUAGUCAAAUUUAGCUAAAAAAAGAGUGACAAUCAAAUUAACAAAAAUUGUAAACCUUGAGAACUAAUUUUAUCACUUUCAUUAUCUUAUGCAUUUUUUAAAUAAUAAACUUAAAAAAAUAUCGAACCCAAAAGAAAAAAAAAACUUAGAAAAUAUUUGUAUAGUGGGAGAUUCAUUGAUUUUAUCAUUUUAUAUGUUUUCUUUUCAAACAACCUUUUCCUAUAGUAGUAUAAAACUUAAAUACAAUGGUGAAAUCAGAAAAAAAUUUUAGGGAAGUGAAAUUAAAUUGUAUAUUUUUACGAUAGUAAAAAUGAAAUUUCAUCAUUUUAAUAUCAAUAUCUUUAUAAUUUUUAAAAAAUUAAAUCAAAUUUUUAUCAUUUUAAGGGGGCCAGAGUGUAAUUUUACCUUUGUUAAUUUAAAAUUUUUAUACAUUUUAAAGGGGCCUAGAGAAAAAAAAUUUCAUUUUAAGGGGGUCAGGACCUCUGUCAGCCCCCCUUGAUUACGCCCCUGCUUAAAUAUACAUUUGAUCCUUCAAUUUGACAUUUUCUCUCAAAUUGGUAUUAUGAUUUUUUAUCUCAACUUGAUACCCAAAAUAUUUUUUCGUCCACAACUCCGGUACAUUUUUGUAAUGCUAUUAAAUCUAAAACAAAGGACACCACAUAUUAUAGUGAUGACAUCAUAAUGAUAUCAUCAUUCGAAAACUAUAAAAAUUAAAAAAUAUGGAAAUUUAAAAAAAUAUAUAAAUAAAAAUUCCAAAAAUAAAUAUAUACAUCUAAAUUUUAAAUUUCUAAAUAUAUAUAAAUUAAAAAAAAAUCUAAAAAGCAUCUCUAAACCCAUAAAUAUCAACCCCUCAAAAAAAAAUUUCAACAAUUAUCUUCUUUCCACCAUCAUCUUCUUAUUCAAUUUAGUUAAAAAAUUCUAAAGCUAAGAGCCUUCACCCUCACAAUUUAAUUUAACAACCAUCCACCCUCACUAUCCCUACUCUCAUAAAUCAAUUUGGAUUUAUUUUCCAAAAAUAAUUAUAAAAAAAAAAACCCCCCACAAAGUUGUAAAUUGGAAAACCAAUGAACUACACGAUUUGAUUAUUUGAAUUGUUUUAUUUUAUCCUAUUAGAAUUGGUUUAUUUUUUAUUUUAUCCGAUUUUUUUUAUAACAAUGCAAAAAAAAAUGACCUUAGUAAUUUGAUUUUCUAAUUUUGUAUAGUAGCAACCCAGAAAAUCAAUUCUAUAACCAUGAAAGUUUUGGAAGGGUGGAAUUUGGUGAAGAAUUCUAGGGGUAGGCAGUAGGGAGUUGAAGAUCAACUUUCUUUUUACUGGAUUUUUAUUCCAAUAGAAAAAGGAGGGUUUGAAGGCAUGGAAUUGGAAAUCUAGGAAAAAGAAAGUCAAGGUUGCAUGAAUGAUCUUUGAUGGAAGGAGAGUAGAAAGAGAUGAAGAGAAGUAAACAAACACAUUAUCUAAAACUAAGUCAAUUGAAUCUUACUUCGAUUGGUAUGGGCAUUGUUGUUAAUGCAAGAAGACAUAGAUUUGAGUGCAAUAAAAUACAUUAUCCUCCUAUUUAUGUGUUGGAAAAGAACUAUAAUAGAUAAAAAAAAUUGGGACAACAAAAAAGAAUAAGUACCAACUUAAAAAAAUAUCAAAUUCAGGGGUGAAAUGUUAAGCCUUAAAAAGAAACACUGAGCCCAAAGCUUUUUCCAACCCAGAAAACACGACGUUCUUGUACCUAAAACCAAUCUAUCACUGUUUUUUUAUAUUGCCUUGAAAGCAGUUCUUUAUGUCCCCUCGAGCAAUUAAGUAUCCAUAGAUUAUGAUGAUAAUUCAUACAUGUAAUGUGACUGUUUAUGUGCUUAUCCAUUAAAUAUUUCACUUUGAUUUUCGAUAAAACAGCUGUUUCAUAAACUCAAACAGAAAGGGAAGAAAACUAGCAGUACAGCAUGAUGAAAGACGAGCUUCUUCCUUUUUUAUAACAAAAUACCCCCACCAAUCCUACUAUACACAAGAAAAGGAAAAAAAAAAAACACCAAACGUUUAAACACCUUAAAGUUAGAGCAAAAAGAACACUAAGUAGUAAUAAAACUACCAUCCCUUUGGAACAUUAACAUCCUUAAAUGCUAAGAAGAUCAGGUGGUGUUGAUUUACGUGCUGGUGGCUGUUGCUGGUCUUUUGUGAUUGUUGUUGUAGGUGGGUCUAGGGUUGUGCACGGUGCCGGUGAUGUUGGGGACUCUGAGUUUGGUGGUUUUGGGAGUUCAGUUAGGAUUUGAACCACUUCCCUCAUUGUCGGUCUCUCUACGGCCUGUUCUUCAACACAGAGCAUCGCAACGUAGAAAACAUGCAUCACUUCGUGGAGAGGAACCGAUGGGAGUCUGGGAUCGAGGACUUUGAGGACGCCUUCUUUGUUUGAAUCUGUCAUCUUUCGAACCCAUUGAACAAUGUCGACACCGUCACCGAACUCACCUACUGGUUUUCUGCCACAGACGAGUUCUAACAGGACUACACCAAAGCUAUACACAUCACUCUUCUCGUCUACCUUCAGCGUGUAGGCAUAUUCUGCGAAAAAUACAGAGGAAUUAUAUGAAAUUCUAAGGGAAAUUAGUACUGGACAGUUAGAACCACCAAUUUUGGUUGGUCAAACUAUAACUAAAUUGAUGUACUUUGAAACCUGCAUAUAUUGAUUGAAAUGAAGAAAAUAUGAACUUCAAUAGCACCAAAUCAUGGUAACACACAGUCAAAACCAAAGUACAGUAAAAAUUAUUGGUAGUAUUAAUGCAUAAUCCGUGAUCCAAUCCCAAAUCAUUAAAAAAGUCAAAUGAAACAUCAAGCAAGUUCUUUGAACCCUUCUGUUAAAAAGAAUAGUAUAUACCUGGAGCAAUGUAUCCGUAUGAACCGGCUAUGGCGGACAUGCAUUCGGAAGUGCCUGAAUCUUGCAGGAAUUUAGCAAGGCCGAAAUCAGCAACGUGAGCUUCAAAAUCUGAGUUGAGGAGAAUAUUGUUCGAUUUCACGUCCCGGUGGACUAUCAAAGGGGAACAAUCAUGAUGAAGGUAGCAUAGUCCCUUAGCAGCCUCUACAGCGAUCUUGUAUCUGGUAUCCCAGUGCAAAUGACCCCCUUUCUUGCCAUGAAGAACCUCUCCUAAACUCCCAUUAGGCAUAUACUCAUAAACCAAGAGAUUGGUUUCAUGGUUUGAGCAAAAACCCAACAAUCUCACAAUAUGCCUGUGCCUAAUCCUCCCCAGAGUUUGUAUCUCAGCAUUGAAUCCGUGAUCAUGGGAAGACCCUCGGCUCAUUGCCGGUAACCUUUUAACGGCAACAUGGUCACCACUAGGCAUGGAUCCCUUGUACACAAUCCCAGCACCUCCUUUGCCUAUAAUAUUAUCCUCCUUCAAACAAUCCAAAACAUCAUCACAAGUAAAAUCCAAGCGCUGGAACGCGGUUAACUUCCAAGCCCGAGAAUCACUCGCUUUCUUCAAGGACCGUGCUUUGAUUAUAGCCGCAACUGCAAACAAGAUGGAGAAGACAAGCAGGCCUAUAACGAGCAAAAGUUUCAAAGAUGCAGAGAGUCCACCUUUAAUAUGAGUUUCAUGAGUUCCUUUAGCAACCCCAUCUUUGCAAGGCCCCAAAUAAGGACCACACAGCUCAGGGUUCCCCAAAAAUGAGGUGUAGUUGAAGUAACUAAACUGACCACUGCCAGGAACCAAACCGGAGAGAUUGUUAUAAGAGAAAUCAACUGAAGUUAAGCUUUGCAUAGUGGAUAUUGAAGAAGGGAUGCUACCCAGGAGAUGAUUUCUCGACAGAUUCAGGUAGUUUAAUAUCCUCAUACUUGUGAUCUCAGUCGGAAUUCGACCUGAAAGCUCGUUUCCACUAAGAUCAACAAAGGUUAACAGCUUGCAUUUGCAAAUUUCUGGUGGGAUCAAUCCUGAAAACUUGUUAUGACUGAAAUCAAUCUUUGAAAGUUGCUGCAACUUUCCAAUCUCAGCUGGGAUUGGACCCGAAAACUUGUUGCCAUCUAGAAGAAGCUUUUGAACACCGGAAAAGUUACCGACGCUAGCCGGUAAAGCCCCGGAAAGUUGGUUGUUGGAUAAGCUGAUUUGGCCGAGAUUAGCGGAAAUGGAAGAAUUGGUGACCGGGAACUCCCCUGUUAGAUAGUUAUCCUGUAACUCAACUUGUGUAAGCUGUGGUAAUCCCAAAAGGCCUUUAGGGAUGGACCCGUUGAGAUAAUUUUCACCCAUACGAAUCCGACUGAGCGACUCACAUUUCCCCAGCGAUUCUGGGAUUGGACCAAGCAAGAAGUUACCCAAAGUAAUCAACGUUUGCAACGUGUUGCCGGAGCACAUGUCCGGCGGCAAAGUCCCCGUUAACUUGUUCGACGAAAGAUCUAGAACUUGAAGCUUUUUGUUACUGCCCAACUUCUGAGGAAUGCUUCCGGUGAAGUUAUUUUCCCAGAGCUGUAAGACCUCCAACUCGGGCAACUCACCAAUGAAGUCAGGAAUCCGUCCGUGGAGCUUGUUUCUGAAAAGAUUGAGAAGAGUCAAGUUUUUGAGCUGAGCGAAACUCGCGGGAAUCUCACCGGUAAACAUGUUGUUCGAUAAAUCCAUGGAUUUCAAGCUGUUUAAGGUUCCCAGCUCGGGAGUUAAGGAGCCAGACAGUGCAUUCACCUGGAGGAACAACGUGUCGAGCUUCUGCAACUUACCGAUCUCCGGCGGUAUUUCACCGGAUAACAUGCAGUUAGCGGCGUCAAAACGAACGAGUUCCGACAAGCUCCCGAUCUCCGGCGGCAAACCACCUUCGAAACUAUUGAAGUAACCAAUGUACAACUGCUUCAGCUUCGUUAAGUUGCCGAUUUCGGGUGGGAUUUUACCGCUGAGUUCGUUACCCGAAACGGCUAAAUAUUCUAGAUGCUCCCAACGGCCGUAACUUGACGGGAUCUGACCGCUGAAAUAGUUCCCUCCCAAAUGCAAGUGACGCAAAUUGGGAAGCUCCGUGACGGAAAACGGCAACUCCCCCGUCAUGUUAUUGUUGUAUAAAUCGAGUAUCUCAAGAUUUUUCAGCUGGGAAAGCUGGGUAGGAAAGGAACCAUUGAAAACAUUGUUGGAAAGGUUUAGGUAACGGAGAUUGGAUAGGACGGCGAGCUCCGUCGGGAUAGGACCGGAAAGAUCGUUGGCGGCGACGGAGAGGUUUUGGAGGAAACGGAGGUGGGCAAGCGAGGGGGAAAGGGUUCCGGCCAGGGUGACGUUAGUUAAAUCGAUGGAUGUCACGUGACGACCGGUUAAAUCGCACGUGACUCCGGCGAAUGAACAAAGGGGAGUGGUUGCAUUCCAGUUUGAGAGGUAAGAUUGAGGGUCGUCGGUAAUGGAGGAUUUAACAGCGAUAAGUGCGCGAAGCUCCGUGACGGCUCUUGCGGCGGCGCCGGCGGCAUAGGAGUGCGAAAUGUGGAGGAGGAGGAGGAGGAGCAACCUCAUUUUUUUGGGUUCAG
rnacentral:lncRNA from 1 species